CUUCAACCCGUCUCAUUGAUAAGGACAUGUAGGCGCGAAGAAGAAAGAAAGAAAGAAGUGGAAUAAAGAGGGAAGGAAAGCCUAGGAGAUUGGAGAUUCUAGUCAGAAGAAGAAGACACUCUCUCAAGAAUAUCCCUGUCUUAUGGCACCUCGCCCUCAAAUUCUUCCCGUCCUCCCGUCCAGAUCCCCCAACUAAAAAAGGGAAGGUUCAAAGAAGAAAAAUCAGGCGCGGGUGCAGAUGACUAUCCAUUAGGGAAUUUGACUUUGGAGGCGCAAUGAAAUAUGCGUUGAGGAUCCAUUCAAAGUUCAGCGGGAAGAACUGGUCCGGAGGAUUUAUCCGUAGGACUCUAAAACGGAGGACCCAAAGAAAGAUUAGACUUUUCCGCAAUAUUCUUUGCGCCUUAUCUUUUUCCACUAAGUUUUAGGAGGAGUAUUAAGACCGAAGGACUAUGAAGAAUAUUUGAGUUUCUAGGAUGACUAAAAAUCCUUUCUUUCAAAGUACCGCGUAGUGGGUGAACAAGGUUCAAAGAAGAUUUCAUUGUUUUCUUCCUCUCCAGCUUGACUUUAGAUCUCAGGAGAGCUCUUUCUUUCAUUCUAGCCCACGCCUAGCCUUUUUUCUCUCGCCCACUACUAGUACUAGAACGAACAAAAAAAGCUUUCUAGGCCCCUUUGGGAAUCGUUCUUUAUCAUCAAUCGAAUGGAACCAAGGUUCAAAGAAUAUUUCAAGUCCAAGAACAAGAAAGUUCAGUCAAGAAUUUCAUUUUGAUGCAAAAGGCUGAAUGAAUAUGAGAGGACUAUUCGCUAUGAUAAAAGAGGACAAUGAAAUCAAUCUUCUUUGAACCUCGCAAUAUUCUUUGCGCCUCCGCCUACUUCUCUUUUUAAUAGAGUUCAUGACUUGCGCUCCUUAAUAGAAAGCCGAGCCUUGCCCCGUCCUCAGUCGGUUAAUUACGGAUGGUCCUACGGAUAAAUCACCUGGACCUUUCUUUGGCCCUGCGGACUCCGGACUCCGGACCUGUGACGCCUUCGGACCUGUCUUGGAAAUCUUCUUUGAACCUCCGGACAUGCCCUAGGAAUGAAGCUGAACCUUCGCUUCGAUCACGCAAUAUGCGCCUCCGGACUGAUCCUACAGUCGUCAAAUAUGAUUCAUAGUCCAAAAAUCAAGGUCCAGAUGACAGGCUCAAUGAAAUUUGAGUUUCUGACUCCCGGUAGCGGCAAUAUUCUUUGCGCCUUCUCACAUUCCCCGUCACCUGUCCUACGUGCCAAAGAAAGGUCCAGGUUAUCCUCCGGACUAUCCGUAAUUAACCGAAGGAGGACUUUCCGUAAUUAACCGAACUUUGCGCCUUCUGACUAUGAAAUCUAUUACUUUGAACCUUGUUCAUUGACUUUCUUCCUAGUGCGAGUGAGAGUGAUCCUUUCCCCUUUCACUAUUUAUUCUUUGUGUACUACCUUUGUGUACUACUUCUAUUAAUUCAAUAAAGAAGAGGUCGAGCUCCCUUCAAGGAUUAUCUAAUUCGGGCCGUGCCCUCUCUUCCUCUUCAAAGCCAAAACCGUGGGAAAACCUGGUUAGGAGUGAUUUCCCAACUGCAUACGUGCAUGGUCUUCUUUAGCUUUCAUUCCAUAAUCCGCGAGAAGACCAGAUUGAGUUCCAUCAAUCGGAAGAGGUAGGUUAUUCUAUUAUCACUUUCUGCUUAGUUUACGGGUCUCUUUUCUGUCUUCAGUCAUUCCGGUAUUUCCGAAGCGGAUCGACUUACCGCUGGCUUAGCUUAUUCAAGCCUAAGAGUCCGCCUAUUUGGGGCUUGCCUAAGCGGAAGAGAACUACUAAAUGGCAAGAAUGCUCUUUAAUCGCUUUGCCCACGCAUAAUAGAGGCGCCUUCUUCCGAAUCAUUCAACCUAUUCCGAGCUCAUCCAUGAAUUUCUUAAGAAAAGAAGGGAUGAAAGACGAACCCCUCGUGGGAAUCCCCACUUUCUUAGUGCGAAUGCGCAAUUUCCCACGUAGGGGUUUUGGGCUAUGCUAGCUGAAAUUGAUGAAAAUCCACCAAUAGGCUUUUUUCUUCUUAUUCCUUUUAUUUAGAAGGAUAGGUUCAAAGAAGAUUUCAUUCUUCAUUGACUUCUCUUUUUCUUUCAAGUUUUCCUUCUUUUUUUCUUAAUACCUUUCGUAAAGGCCUCCCCGGAAUGAGACUAGGCGGCCGGUCUUCUAUUGGUCGAUCCGCGCACUUAUUAUUCUCUUUCAUAAGAGGUCUCCUCCCGGAUGAGUUUGCUUGCUCUUGGCGGGAUAUUAGCCUGAUUCAGAUUAGGAAAGGAUGAAGCGGGAAAAGGAAAGAAAGGCUUGACUUAAUCGUCGGGGCGAAGGAAGCCGCUAGGCCCACUAGAUCCCACGGGGCGGCCCACUACGCGGUUAGACUAAUAAAGAAUUUGAUUAUCUAAUUAAUCAGUCUAAAGCUCUGCUCAAUUCAUAAAAAGGAGAAGACUGAGGCUAGUUCUAGAGUGAGAGGUUCACGCGCGAGAGGACUCGAAAGUUUUCUUCUUUUCUUGGACAAGUGGAUAAGAUUCAUUAUCUCUAGAAUGAUAAUUCUUCAUUCCCCAUCCCGUAAGAUAAUUAAGGGAGAAAGUGGGUCCAUGUAAAUGAUCGAGAGGGACUAAGAAAGAUAAGAGAAAGUUGAGAGAGGGGAUGACUCGACCGGAUCGAUUCCCAAAGGAAAGUCUACAAACUAAAGCACUCGACGAGGCUCGACCCAGCACAAAGGCUUACGGGAGAAAUGAUAGACGAGGGCUCGAAUCAUCCCAGUCUCGGGUUAGAGGUCAGAGUAGGAUGAAUCACUAGUCGACCGGGUUUAGACAUUGAAAUCUAGAAUUUCAAUAGAUUCCAUCUCUUUGUAUUUGUGAUUAAUAGUUUUUCUCUCCUUUCAUUCAUUCAAGGCAUAUUUCAUUGCGCCUCAGUCGCAAAGUUCUUUAUAGUCUCGCUCUUCCAGUAGUUUUUUGUCUUCGAAUCCUCAGUCCCAGUCCCCUUCCCAGCUUGCCUCGCUCCCCCGCUCCGUGGGCGUAGUACUAUCUUGCGGAAUAGGAAAGAUGCAAGAAACCUCGUCCCAGUCGCUGAAGCAUAAAUCCUUCACUCCCACUCCGCGGUAGCAAGAGAUCUUGCAAGCUUUUCUUCUUUCUUUGCAAUUCUUAUCAAGGAGAACCCUCACUCAGUAGGAUAGAUCGAAGGAGUGCAGAUGAGGAUAGGAGAGUUGUCCGAAUCAAUCCCCUAAUGCUUUGAGCUCUGUGAAGAGGGGUUUAGCACCAUAGCAAAUAAAGGAUAUUAGUAGUACCCUUUCUUUCUUUGUACUCUUUCUCUAUAUAUUCUUUGCGCCUCCUUCUAUCCUUUCGUCCGACCGGGUGAGUGGAUGAGAUGGCUUAGCCACUCAUUAAUGAGGCAGAAGAUGAAUUCUCCGUCCGCACAGUUUCAUUCUCAGGAGAGGGCGAAAUCCUUGACUUAGAGGAACCCCCUCUUAGUCUUUGCUUCGACCCGUUCCGAACUUUUCAUUGAUCGAUCCGAUCCCGAGACCUCUGAACGGGCGUGGUGUCUAACCCGAAGCCGUCUCCGUCUUUGAUGACUAGAGUAAGGAAGGCUCCGUGGGAUCCCCACUUCCCCUAUCUCUUCUUAUGGCGCUUUGAAUAUUAUAGACUGCGCGAAGCGGGUCAAUCUCUUUUUUAUGACUUUUGGGCCCUCCGUAGGACUCGAGCUCUUUCUUCCUUUUCUUUGCCUCCGGUUAACGCCUCUCGUCUUCUGACUUUUAGCUUCUUUAGUUCUGACUUUGGAGCAUUCCUUUUAUUUGCCUCCUAUCCAGUCCAGCAAGGAGAAAAUUUGCCUAGGCUGGAUUCAAUUUCGUUCCCGUAGGUUAGGCCUGGGGAAAGAGAGAUAGGGGGCAAUGAUGAUAGCCCGAUCGAAGAAGACCUCUGCUUCAAGAGCUUCAACUAAAGCAACUCAACUUAAUAAAGACUCAUUUCGAAGCGGACAAGAGCCGAGUGGCUCGCCGUGGUAACUCCUUUGUUGGACGAAUUCCCUAUGGGGUAGAUGGAAGAACCUCUUUUCCCCACUUAGUUAUGAGAGUGAGUUUUCUGCUAACUCCUUCCCUGAAACUAAGAGAAAUUUCCGUCCAUCGUCAAACUCGGUAAUCUUCUCUCCUUCUCUGAAUCCGAUGUGCUGGUGGGGACGGACGUCUAUGAUCAUCCUCUUUAUUGGCUUCUGCCUCUGACUUGAAAAGAGCAGCUGCCACUUCCGAAGCUGCGAAUCCUUAAUACCGGAUAAGGAGUCAGAUAAGAUAAGAAGAAAAAUCCCUUCUAGGUCGAGAAUACCGCGUAGUGGGACCUUUUCUCUAGGUCCUUCAUUCUGUCGAAUUCAUAUGGUAGGCUUUGAAAUAUUCUUUUCACCUCUUUCACUAUUUUCAAAUGAAAAGAAGAUCUAUGAUCAAGGGCAGCACCCUAUACCCUCUACAAUCGGUCGAUUGGAGCUAGCCUGAAGGGAAGUUCCUAGCCGGAUUUUCAAGGAUGAGAAAGAUAGAAAGCCUGUUGACUCUGAUGCUUGAUGGGAGAAAUGGGUUGGGAUCCUGCCUUGCCCACCUUCGUCCAAUCCGGUCGGAGGUCAGCCCCAUGGGAUAGGAUAUUUGCCUUCAUUGGUCCUUCCGAUCCUUGACUUGUAUUAGUAGGGCGUUCUGAAUAUAUGAGAUAAUGGGGAGGAAUCCUUUUACCCGAUGCGACUUAUGCCACAGCGAUCCUAUUCAGCCACUUUCUGUGAAAGAGGUCGGUCUUGCUUUGGUGGGCUUCCCCUGUCCAGACUUUCAGAAAAGGAUAAAGUCUUUCCUUCCCCGCUCCGUGGGGGUGGUAAGGCUUCUGUCUUGGUACUUGUAGCCUCUUUGUUUAUCCCCAAACAUUGAAGAGCUUCAAGAGCGAAGAACUGAAAGAGCCACAACUACAAGAACUUAUACUUCAACAAGAACAGCUGAAAGGGAAAUCACGACUGGAUAAGAAGUCGAGGUAUUAAUAAAUAGGCUAACCCGAGUGGAAAGGAUAGGUUUCCUCCCGAUGCAGGGGGAGAGUAAGCUAGGGAAGGGGUCGGAUCAAGAGGAUUCUAUCAUUGGAACAAAGUAGCUCGAAGAAAGCAAAGGAAGAGGCACAAAGGGGAAGCUAUCCCAAGCAGCUACCCGGGAAGGUUAGCUCAUAACUCAACUUAUCGGAAGAGUGGCAGGUAGCUUUCUUACUCAGAAAGAAUCGGAAGUCUUCUCAUGGGCGAGCGAAACCGUAUCUUUCUUCUACUUAGUUUUGGGAGAUAGGCUUUCUUUUCUGACUGAACUUUCUUCUGAGGAGUCACUCCACAUCGACAAGACGACUUCCAGGACUAGGUAGAUUGGCUGGGAGAAGGACUGUCUGGCCUUAGAGGGAUCUUGCGUAAAGCUAUGCUAUGCCAACCAGGUGUGGACACGCGAGUUCUUUCCAUUUAGGCAGUUCAGGCGACCGCUACGCGGAGCUUCCGGUGUCCGCUCCCCUGGAAAGGGAAAGGGAAAGCUGGAAAAGAAAGGCGCAAAGAAUAUUGCGAGGUUCAUACUAUUACUUUAAAUAGUGGGACUGAUUUUGAUCCAUAUUCCUGAGGCUACUUUCUUUUUUUCUUCUUCGGUCCCGAACCACCCGACUGAAUAUUCUGAGUCAUAGUGCUAGUCCCCCUGACUUGACUCCCCGACGAAAUAGAGUGGUUCAAGGGGUUGGUUCUUUGCACCUUUCCCUCUAAAAAGAGUGAUUGAUUCCUUUCCCUCACUCGGUCGGUCAUCUUCUCUCCUUUCUGUGGAUCCCCGAUACGCAUCUCUCUUUUGGGAGUGAUCCUUUUAGCCGUGUCCAAGAACUGAUUAUUGACUUCUUCAUCCUUGAAUGAAUAAUAGCUCUUUAAGCAACCGCAAGAAUGGCGAAGACCCGAUCCGACCGACGAGGUGGUGAGGUCUCACCCUUCCCACGAGACAAGGUUUCCGAUUCAGAAAUGAAAAAGAAGAAAGAAGAACCUCUGCUUUCCCGGUGGUCUCACCUCUCUCAGAAUAUUGCACCUUCUUUUCCUUCUUCUUUCAUUGAAGAAUUUAUUGGACUUGAGAGUGCAUUCUUUUAUCGUUAAUGAGAUCGAAUGGCUCACCCGAAAUUUCUUUCUUUCUUAUUUGCUCCUUCGUCUUGUAGGAGAAAGAAAUAGAAAGUAGUUGGUAGUUGACGGCUGUCCGCUACGCUACGCUUCCGCUCCUGAGUGAGAAAGACAGGCUCAAAGGAUAUAUAGAAGGUGCAAAGAAUAUUGCGGAUUGGUUUACGCCGUCACGGAGUUCAAUCUCUGUAUUGCCUUUUCAAGAAAGGCCCUUUGGGGCAGGCACCUAAAUGUAUAAAGCACCAAAGCCCCCUUCCCCUCGUCAACUCGGAAAGCUGCUUCGCCCCUGCCUUCCGGCCUUUUUCGCGCUAAGCGGUCCGGCCUGACGUCCUUUAUUUGUCGGCGAUAUCGAUCCGGCUGUCAGGGACAGGGAUAUCGAUCCGGCUUUCAGGGACAUCGAUCCGGAUGACUUGUCCGGCUAACUUGUUCUUUGGUUCGGUGGCUUCGCCUAGACGGAUAGAAAGAGAAGUAUUGCCUUUCAUUUCAAAGGCCCUUUUUCGCACUUUUAGGGGCCUCAACGUAUAAAGACAGCCCCUUCAAGGAGUCCUUUUUCUCGCUAAUAGGUCUGGCUUUUCCAUAUUUCAGGGAUAGCUAUCCGGCUGACUUCUUAUUUCGGUGGCUUCGCCCUUCAUAUUUUGGCUUCGCCCUUUGCUUUUAUGUCUUUUUCGGUGGCUUCGCCCUUUCUAUUUUGGCUGCGGAUAUUUUCGCUGCGGAUGCGGUGGCUUCGCCCUUGUUUACGCCUAACGGAUAUGGUUAUCCUAAGGUAAGGGGAUAUGGCCUUAAAAGGCCGAGCAGGCCCCUAAAUGGAUCAAGACCCGGGGCCCCUGCCUUCCGGCCUUUUUCGCGCUAAUAGGUCCGGCCUGACGUCCGGCUUUUCCUUUUUCGGCGAUAUCGAUCCGGCUGCCUUCUUUUUUUGGUGGCUUCGCCCUUUGUUUUCCAGCCAGCGUAGCGGACACCGGACACCUUUCUUUUCUCUUUUGACAUUUAGUCCUCCUCAACGCAAUAUUCUUUGCUUUCAAGAAUAGACCCGUCAGUAUCCGGACCAGAAACUCAAACUAGAAGUCUUCAUUGAUUUUCCCUAGAUUUUGAUAAUGGACCAGUUGCAAUUUCCCGGCUUUUUUGCUUCUAAAUAGGACUUUUUUGAAGAUUGAUAUUUAACGAUAAUUGAGUGAAAAAGAAGGAAUUUUCAUGAUUUCUUGCUACUUUAUAGGCCCAAAACCUAGCAUUUCCCUCCGCGGAUUCAUCUGAAAUCUAGCAGAUUCUUUUUGAGCUUCUUUCAUUAUCGUUAAUGAACUGAUUUUCUUUGAUUGACUUUUGUGCCAUAAGACAGGUCCGAAGGCGCAAAGAAUAUUGCGCGGCGUAGGAGAAAGAUAGGAUAACUAGAAAGUAGUUGACGGCUGUGUCCGCUACGCUACGCUUCCGAGAAAGAAAGUAGUUCAAUACAGGAGGCGCAAAGAAUAUUGCUCGAAAGAAAGGAGAAAGUUUCAGGCUGUCCGCUACGCUACGCUUCCGAGAAAUACAGGAGGUGAGACUGACCAAGAGAAAUUUCAGUAGGAGCAUAGGUGAGACCGAAUAAUGGGAUCAGUGUUCAAUUAAUAAGUGGAUAGUCUUGAGAUCUGAAAACGAAUAAUCGCUUGCUUUACCAGAAUAAUUCCAGACUGAACCCUAUGUGCCUACCUGCUUUAUCUCGCUUGCCCCUCGCUUCGAUCUGGAACCCAUGAUCUUUUGUUGAGGCCGUAAUCACCCUUUCUUCAAUUCGUGGAUGUACCUACGCAAAAGUGCGUAGACUCCAGGAGCCCCGUAGGUAGGGAAUACCGGGCGAAAGCCGAUCCAGGGGGCCCCCUAACUAUUCAAUUAGCUUCUUUGGAUGGAAUCCGUAAGCAUAAUCUGAAGGAAGGGAAGACUUGGCUGGCAAUCUAAUUGGUAGAGAUCAAGUUCGCUUUCUUUCCUAGGAAUUGAGAGGUUCCGCGCACGAGUCAAUUAUCAAGUUGAGGCAAUGAAUCCUAAGAAGUGCUUUUCAGUUCUGAAUGGAAUAUGAUAGAAGAAUGGAGGUGGCCUAGUCGAUCAAGGUUUUAGCGGACAUUGCUUCCACUUUCAUCGAGAUUGUGGGGCUAAAGGGAAUCGAAGGACUCCCCGUUUGGGAAUCCAUGAGGAGGGGUAGAUCGAAGAAAAGGGAAAGGUAGAGUAGUGCCCUUUGAAUUUCAUGUCUUCGGUUCUGAACGCUGGUUGGUCAAAAUCUUCUAUUUGUCUUAGUAUAUUCUAUCUCAACCUCUCGUCUUAGCCUUAAGUCAUUCUUCAAUUUCUGAGAAAAUCACCCCUUCAUGCUCCUUCUCCGUCCUCUCAAUAGCAUUUCCUCGGAAUAGUGGACCCUCUUCUCUUCCUUUUCUUAACCAAAACAUUUAGAAGGCCUUGGAAAGGAAAAACCUUGGUUGACUAGGGAUAUAUCUUGCAGGACCGCUGCUAUAUCUUCCACGGUGUGCGGCGACCUGAUCUUCCCGUGGUAAUAAAAGAGAUGGAGCCAACGAAUGGAAGAACUCCUCUAGAAGAUUAGAUCUUUCACUUUCAGUCGAAGGCCAAGUCGCCCAAUUCCAUCUUUUCCGUAUGGAAACCGCCUUCCUGCCCGCCAGGAUAAUAUAAUGGCCAAGGGCAGAACUAAGCCAAUAGACAGACGAGAUAUAUUCUCUUCAUAUCUUCUCCUUUCGUUAAGGAUGCUCCGCCCCCAUAAUAAUGAAAUUCUUCUUGCUCUCAUCAUGCGGAGAGACUUGUAGGAAAUUGCCCCUUGGGUUUGAAACCAAGAAAGGCAAAAUAUGGAUCUAAUGGAUAGUCCGUAGGACCGGUCUUAAUACUCCUAACUACGGGGUCAAAAUCCACUUUUCAUAGGUAAUUCGUCUGUCUGUAUAAAUAAGAAAGUUCUUCAUCUUUCAAUGGGAUUGAAAGCAGGCAAGGCAUCUGAAAUUUGCUCUUUCGUCCAAAAGAAUGAAUCGAAUUUCCGCUAUGAAAGGAAGGCCAGUAUUGAGCCUUAAGUCUCUUUCAUCAAAGAAAGAAUGGGUAAGUUCAAAAUCAAUUAAGUCAUCAUCAUUGUGAACUGGCCCACCGCUCCGUGGGUAAUUCGAUGGAGCGAGAGAAGUUUUGAGAAUGAGUGAGCUAAGCCAUCAGAUCAUCAGCCUUUUCUUGGGAUCCCUUCGUUCUCCUACCAUACAUAGAAAGAAUGAGGGGGUAUGAGCUUAGGCAAAAGAACUGCCCACGCGGAUGACGUUGCUGGGGCGCACUUCUCCUACGGGUAGAAGUCAUAGCUUUUAGUUUCAUCACUGUCAAAUCAGAGUUCUAUGAGUGGAAUCGAGUAUGCGGCUUUAUUCAAAACCUUUCCAUCACGUAAAAUAAAAAGGAGGAUAAAGGCGAGAGGUCAAAGUCAGGAAAACUCCCCAAAUCGGCUAAGCAUCCAGUCUGAUCGCCGAUCAUCCAAUUCAUUCUUUUCGAUUUUCCUAAAAGAUUUUCGGUAUCAAAAGGAUGCGGACGGAGAAAGGAGAAUGGUGAUUGGAGGUUCAGAAGAUUACCCACGGAGCGGUGUAGAGGGGAAGGAGUCUAACCGCUUUCCCGAUUCCCCACGUAGCGGGGAAGGAAGGUAACUCUCAUCUAAGCAAGCGCGCCUAUGCUUUUCAUGAGAUCUUGAAUUCCUAACUUCAAGUCAAAGAGAAAGGGAUGAAACUGGGACUUCCCUCUCUCCACACUCUCUUGUCUUGGAAAGGUUCUUAACAAGUUCAUGCCUUGAACAUAGUCUACCUUUAGAAUAUAAGGAAUUCCCAGCUACCGAAGGAAGGCUAGGCGUAAUUGAGGAGAGAGAGAUCUCGGCCGAGCCAGUCUCGAGCAGUUCUGCUUUCAAUGCGCCAGUGGGAUCGAGGUUGGAGAAGUCGCCUCACCCCUUGUUCUCUAAGCUCGAGUAAGGCCUAUGGGACCUAUGCUCCUCUUUCUUAACUCUUGACUCCACAGGUUCAAGAAAACGGGAGGGAAGGUCCAAAGAAAAUAUCCAAAUAUAUCGGAGUCCCCCACUUUAUGCUUUUCAGUAUAGGAGAGAAGGACCAGAGGCAUAGGAAGCGAAGCCGUUCAGAAGAGUCCGUCGCAUAGGCUCAUGACCGAUGGCCUCCCCUUUCUUCUUAUUACUCUUUUAUCUCAUAGAAAGUCAAAGAGGAUUCCCCCUCCAUAAUCCCACAGUGGGAGGAGCCGGAGAGCCAGCAUAAAAGAUCAAUCGGAAGCGGUAUUCUCUUUAUCUGGUUCGGGUCUUGAGGAGAGCAGGAGUUCGAGCACCAGUCCGCUAGACCUUGGUCCGGAGCAGGUAUGAGGGUAUGUAUUUACGAGUUAGAAUUUCUUGAACUUGACUAGCCCGCCAAGGGUUGCCUAUAGUGGUAAAGGACUCCUUAUCCUAUUAAUUAGAAUCGAUCGGAGUUUAUGUGCUAUAAUUCUUCUCAUAAGGACCAGAUCCCCUCACCUUCAAGGUCUUCCACCUCUACAGCCGUCUAUUCUGAUGAACUCAUCCUAUCACUCAUUUGAAUAGGGUGGGUAGGGGGUAUGAAUCUUUCAUGACCAGAAUCCCGAUAGUUAGGGAGUGGAACUUCCCUAGUGCGAGAGGUUCAAAGAAUUUGAGAGUGGAAAUUGACGAGUAUUCAUCAUAUAUAUUUGGGAGGAGCAUCUCCAGAGGCUCUUUUAUUUGGAUGGAGGAGAGGCUCAAUUCACAUCCAUAAAUAAAGGGAUCUUGUCUUAGGCUCAAAGAACAAUUAUAAGGGGACAGGUGACCUUUUUUAUCCACUAGGUCAAAGAUUCCACUAAAUAAGGAAGGGGAAUGAAUAGGCGGUCUGGUCUUAGUCUUGAGGUCAGUUAAUUCAUAACUAAGACUUUCGUCAGACAGAGACAGACUUCCUCAUUAUCAGGAUGGGAAGCCUCAGUCUGAGAAGGGUGCGGGUCGGAGUUAGUAAUUCUUUGAAGUUUCUCAUCUCGAAGGAGAAAGAAAGCAUAUUAAGUUUUAGUAGGGUUAUGAGCUCCGCUGCUCUCCUGAGAUCAAUGAAAAAUCAAGCUCCAGAUGAGUUUCAGAAGCGAAGACAGAACCUUCUACGUGCCCACUUUUUGAAAAGAAAUAAAGAGCGCAAAUCGACAAAGGAGGGGUCUUUCGAUCUGAACCUUUUUUCAUGCAUUCUACGAAAUGAUAUAUUUACCCUUUUGAAUAAAAGGGAAGUCCCAGGGUAUCAGAAAGAGAGUUCUAUCAGCCCACGUAGCGGGAAUUGUGUCAAGUCUUCUUUCGUAAGAGGAGAAGUGGCGCUCAAGAGGAAGCUAGAACGACCGUAAGGCAUCGGUCUGAUUCUGGUAUUUCAGAAGUGCAGUUCGUAUUCUAAGAAGAGGUAGAUAUAGGGAUCGGAUCCUGGUCCCCUUGUUCAUUCAGGCUAGGCUUGAUCUUUCUUUUUUUGAUAAUAGGAGCCGAAAAUGACCUAAGCUUUCUCUCUUUCAUUAUCAGGAAGUGAAGGAGCUCGACCAAAGGAAGAGUGAGUACGAGAGGAAGACUCUACUCUGACAACGGUCUCCACAAUCGGAAGAAAGUCCCUCGACCAAGCAUAGGAGCAGCGAUCCCAAGAAGAAAGUACUAUUUCCUAUUUCAAGGGAAGAACUCGCAUAACUGGAAUUGGAAGCUCUCCCGGAUGAAUUAGUUGGGUCGGCUGAAAGGGCACAUCCUGAGUUGGGGCGAAGACACUUUGUUGGAGUCACUUCACAUAAUAUCUAAAAGACUUCCAGUUCUUGCAGCUUUCCCGGAAUAAAUGGAAUAUGCGAGUGAGAAAGCGGAAAAUUUGCAGACUCAUCUGGACUUUGUUUAUGGAUAAAAAUCAGUCACCUGGACCUGACCACUAAAAAACUGAUUAAGCAGAUAGGUUCUUUCGUAGGAGGAAUCGGCAGUUUCAGUUUCAUCAGUUUACUAUUAGAAAGGAGAGAGCGACUGCUUUUUCCCGUAUCAGAUAGGUUCUCAGACGGGAGACUCCCACGGGGCGGAGAGGUUCUCAUACGACCAACUCAUAUGGAAGAAAGCCUAGGGGUUAGGAGACAAGCGACCGUAUAGGAGCUCAGCGGCAGGAUGGAAGAGUCAUCGGAAUAAGAAAGAGUCAGCUCCUUGGUGCAUUCACUGAAGUAGCCGAAGAAAGCGCAUCCUUCGUAAAGAGUUGGACUAGCCUCCUGCUAUCACUCAGAAGAAUAGGAUCGUACGGUCUUUCUUUCAGCUUACAGUUGACUCAGAGUUGGGUGCCGGUUCUGAUGGCCCUACGAGCUUCUUGAUUUUCCUUAUUUCGGUCUGAAUAGGGCAUUCUAUCAGAAAGAAGAGAGGAAGAAGUACGUUGAAUCAGAGAAAUCUCCGCUCUUAGUAUUCUCUCCGAAGCUAGACAAGAUCCUGAAUGGGGGAAGGUUCUCAUAUGCUCCCCAGAGGUCUUAUGAGGGUAUGAGAUUGGCAGUUUCUAGAAUAGAAUAACCUCACCGCUCCGUGGGCAGAUAGAACUAAGCAAGAACAAGAGGCAGCUAGAACUCAGAAGAAAGAGUAGGAAAGGGGCUGGCUGCAUCGGGAGAGGGGGAAGUUGACUGACCUACUCGGAUCUCUAACAAGAAGAGUUUCAGUUCCAUAAAUCAGUCCAAGAAAAGGCUAUAUGGAAUAAAUCAGUCCGACUAUCGAUUAGUCUUGAGCUCCUUCCCUCUUGACUUAAUCAGCUCUUUCCCCGUAUUAAGACAUAGAAAAGUAGGGUUUUCUUACCCGAGUUGACGAGGUUAUCAUAUUAUAGACUCGAAAGUUGAGGCGGAGUAGAACAGCUUACAUAUUAAGCUGCGUAGGAGGACGGGUCGUAUUCUCUCUUUCAUGGAGAUCUUUUAUUCUUUCUUUCAUUCUCAGUUGUAGAAGCUAGAACUUGAGCUAUGCUCUUGGAUCGGAUCGAUCAUGAGAGAGAAGAAUCGGAAGUGAGACCUGGCAGCAUAAGAUCUGGAGUCAUCCGUCGGGGUCUUCUCCGUUGAGUAAUCGUGAGGGAUCGAAAUUGGGUCGGAUUAUGAGCGAAGCGAGAACUCAUCUUGACGGGGAGGAUUAGGAAGAGGAAGAAAGGUUUAUGAAAUUGCCCACUGAUCCAAAGAGUAUGAAAUUACUAUGUGGUAAGAUGAAGCCAGAGGUGUGAAAGAGAGGGUUUUCUCCGCCUUCUCAUGAGAAUGAAGGAUUCCGUACUCAGAUUAGUACCCUCGAUAACCUUAUUCUUUUCUCGUAGAUAGUAGUUCUCUCUCUUUCUGAUAACUAAGAAAGAAGAAAGAAAAUCAAAUAUAUAAAUAUUCCCGAACAUAUUAGUGGAAUCUUUUCUACAUCAGAGUUCUCAUAAGAAAAGAAAGCCUAUCCUCCUAUAAAUGAAAUAUACGUUGAGGCGCCUAAAAGUGCGAAAAAGGGCCAAAUAAAGGUAUAUCUUCUGUGAAAAUGGCAUAUCCGCGCAAGGCAGAUACCAUUCCGCAAGGCUAGAGGCUAGGUAGGGUCUCUACCGAAGGGCUAGGGUCUCUGAAAGGGGUUCUAACCCGAAGGCUUGGCUUUCGACCCGAAGGCCUUUGGCUUGAAUAGAAUCGCCGAUAAGUCCAUGUAUACGUUACAGCCCCCACGGAAGGCACGAGAAAAAAAGGCUUUUCCCCCCACGGGCUUCCCUGCUCAGGUUCACCACCCCCGGAUACUCAAAUAGUAGAAAGACAAAGUGGAGGGCUUCUUUUGGAAGCCUGUAACUUGCAUCGACUUUUUCCUACUGGGUCACAUCAUAAAGGGGUAUGGAGCCACCGUCGCUUUGAUCAGCGUUACCAAGAACCAGCGAGAGUUUCUCCUGGUCAGUGGUCUAGGUCUGGACACCGUAUCUAGCGGCCACCCACCCAGUCCUUGGAUCUGGGGUCAUGACACAGUCCUACGAUUGAUGCCCUUUGUCCACGAUGCCCCUAGUCGCUAGCAAGACUGGGUUUAGCAGUGCACUUUCGGGCAAAGAUCGUUUGAAUCAAUCAUUAACGAGAUUUCAUCAUUAACGAGAUUUUUUGUUGAUAGUUUUUGUUGUGAAUUAUUUGUAAGUUUUUCUCAAUCUAGAGAGAAACCGACUGGAAGGAGCACCGAGCGUACUUUGGUAGCGAGGUCCUAGCCAAAGCAAACAAAGACGAAGCUCCCUUUAAGGAGCGGAGUCAAUACACCCCAUCCUCAUGACGCGGAGAAGAUAGGGAGGUUGAGAAGGCGCAAAGAAUAUUGCGCUUUAAGCAAACUUUUCUUUCCUUCCUUUUGACUUUCUUUCUUCCCUCUCUCGUUAGUUGUCGGUAGAGCAUCUACCGGCUUCCGGGUUUUCAGAAUGGGAAGUAUUGACUCAGCUCUAGGAAGGGAGCUUCGUCUUUGUUUGCUAGGAGCUAGGAGUCAGCCGAGGAAACUUCUUUUUGAACUGAGAACUGAACUUCAGAACUAGGAAAGAAAGAGAGAAAGAAAGAGCACUUUUGAAAUCUUUUCUUCCUUAAAGAGAUACAUUAGUGAAUCUUAGAGAGGGAGAAUCUGCGCUUUGUAGAAGCUUCCCCGAGCGUACUCCAUAAGGGAGCGAGUGGGGAGCAUACACAAAGCGUUAACAUGACGCGCGCGCGAGGUUGCCUAAUAUAUGAAAAGGGCGAAGCCACCGCAUCCAUAUAAAAUAAAUAAACAAAGGGCGAAGCCACCGAAUCCAAAAUAGGGCAAAGCCACCGACUCCUAAAAAGACAUACAUAAACCCAAGCACAAGGGGGGCCCAAGGGCGAAGCCAAAAAAUGAAGGGCGAAGCCACCGAUUAGCCUUAGCCGGACAAGUCAGAGGGCGAAGCCACCGCUUCCAAAUUCCAAAAGAAUAUUCCAAAGCCACCGAUAACUCCUAGCUAAUAGCUAACCCGAAGCUCCCCUGGAGCUGAGACAAUACUAGGUUUCCAAAAUAUGAAGGGCGAAGCCACCGAAACAAGAAGUCAUCCGGAUCGAUAUCGCCGAAAUAUGGAAAAGCCGGACCUAUUGAUAUGGAAAAGCCGGACCUAUUAGCGAGAAAAAGGACUCAAGGAAGGGGCGACCUGUCUUUAUAUGUUGGGGCUCGUAAAAGUGCGGAAAACGUAGAAAGAAAGCAGAUCCGUUCAGUCUCUCCUCAGUUAGUGGUUAUAGUAAGUUCUCGCAAUCAACAAAAUAAAAGGAAGCAGAUGAAAAAGCUCUGCUACACCUACCUUCAAGGAGCUGAGAAAAUAGAACCCUAUCCUUCCCCACAAACAAGGAGCUGAGAAAUAGACCAAGGAGCUGAGAAAUAGACCCCUACCCCACAAACUAGGCUAGGGUCAUAAGGAUAAGGGGCAAAGAAUGAUCGAAGAGCAAGAACCAACGGAAAGAGUCAUCAGGGCAAAGAAUGAUCGAAGAAGUAAGUCAGCAACUCUCAAAUUUCAUUGAUCCUCCGGACGGCUGGAAAACAAAGACAAAGUAGGCUCGACCCCAUUCUACUCACUCAAUCAGGGAAAGCUGCUUCUCUUAGCCCGACCCCAAAACGCCUACUUUAAGACUCCUCUUGCUCAUUACCUUUCUUCCGACCAAAGACGCUUCUUUUAGGGGCAGGUACGGGAAAAGAUGGGUCAGUAAACCGGUACGAGAUAUGAAUCAAGGUUGAAAGACAGCCGAGGGAAGACAGAAAAGCAUACCUUUCCCGGAGAUCGAUACCCCGUACAGUAUAUCGAAGUGGACUUUCUCUCAGUAUGAGAUCUUGAGUCACCUUGUAAAGAUUCCUGAAAGCCUUACCCCUUUAUUCAGUGACCCUGGGUUCUACGUACGCUCCUGGUCUCCUUGCUUCACCCGUAAAUCGGUCCAGCUAAAAGUCUUCCCCUCCUCUUGACUGACGGCUUUUUUCUUAUUCCUUAUCAAUGAUCUUUUCACCUUGCCUCCGGAAGUAGGAUCACUUUCAAGUCUUCGUCUUCGUAUGAGAAGUAGCUCGAGCUAAACUAAUAGGUUGCGGAACCCGUUGACUCAUCAGCCUCCUCGGAAGAGUUUUCAGUCGAUUAGGAGCGAGCGGAGAGGCACAAGUCCUUCGCCUACUACAAUCAGUUCCAUGAAGAAGUCCUUCGUCGUCUAGUGACUUUCUUUUUUUGAUAAUUCUUUGAUUUUCUUUGCUUUCAUUUGACGUUCAUGAGAAGAUUCCGUCAGUGAUCCACGUACGAAGCAGAAGCAACCUUCACCUCCGAGAGUUAGUUGUGAAAAGAAGAUGGAAUCGCUCUAUAUAUGCGCCUUCUUCAUUUCUUUCGGAGGACCACCUCCUGUAUUUCACUACUUGAUCCUGUAUUUCACUCCUUUCUUUAUCCGUAGCGGACAGCCUGAAACUAAAGACUUUCUUUCUCCUUUGGAAGCGUAGCGUAGCGGUUAAAGCUCAAUAUUCAAAGAGCCAAACCAUCAAAGAAAGGUCCAGGGUCCGUAGGAUUUAUCCGUAGGACUAUCCAUUAGAAGCAGGAUUUAUCCGUAGGACUAUCCAUUAGAAUAGAAUAAUCAUGAAAAAUCAGUCAAUAAAGUACUUUUAUCGUAGAAUAUCAAUAUGAGAAAAAGUCACAUUUAGAAGCAACCGAGAAAAAGGCAAUUCAAGAAUCAAGCCUAGGACAGGGAAAAGAAAUGACAAUGGAGAACUUUUCUAAUGGAUAGUCCAGUCCUCCGGACGGAUAAAGACAGGGAUAUUCUUGAGAGUAGUUCUUUCAGCUCUCUCAAAUUCUUUGAGCCUGAAUAGGUAAGAAAGAUGAGGGGAUCGUAAGACCAAGGCCGUCGGCCUAACUUCAAAAAAGACAAAAAAGAAAAGGUCCAGUCCAGGCGCAAAGAAUUUGCGAAGAAGGACUAUCCAUUAGGGAAUAUUGCGAGGUGCAAAGAAUAUUGCGAUAUUGUAGGUCCUCCGCCUAAGAGCGCAAACCAAAGGCAAAGGACGGGUCCGACCUAUCCUCUGAAAGUAGCGGAGCCCCUCUUCAUUGAUUUUAGAUAUUCUGAUCUUCUUAUAUCCGAUUAUGAAUAAAACCUUCCAUAGUUUCUUCUUCUUUGAACUUUUCAUUCUUCCUCCCUGUCAAAAAUCUUUCUUUUCAUCUUCUUAUUUCCUAAAAUAAAGACGAAAGUACUUAAAUGUGGUUGGUACUCACUCAUUCAAGACGAAUCCUCUUUCUUUUCUCUGACUCUAGAAACUGAUACUUGAUACUGAGUCUACUUUUCUUCAACAGGUGGAGCAACCGCCUCAAUGAACAAGGGGCAUCUCAUACUCACAAGACCUAUGUGUGGACCACUCAUUCUUCUUAUACUCAAGGAUGCUUUGAGUACUUAUUUAUUCGUCCGAGACUGAGAAGUCGUAUUCGUCCCUUUGGUUAGCUCAUACCGCGGAGUGGGAGUCUCGAGACUAAAGACCUAUUCCUUUCUUUGGUCGAGCUACUAACUAUCGUAAUCAAAUCGAUAUUCUAACCUCCUAAAUAAAGCGUCCAGCUGAGUAUAUAGCUCGUCUUAACUUUUUUGAUUGCUUUCUCUCUCUUGAUUCCAGAAAAAAAGAAGUUUGAAAAACCUAGCCCAAUAGAGCUCUCCACUACUGGACUGCGGACAAGGAGAUGCCGGUAAACGUCCGGCGGGAUAGAAAGGGAUCUCGAACUCUCUGAAAGGUUUAGGAAAGCUCAAGCUAUAACGAAAGUAUGGUUAUGAGUUAUAUUGUAUUGCUUGAACUCUUUAAUAUGAGAAGGAGCCAGAUUUCAUGACUUUUGCCCCAUAGGAAGCUAUCACACUCUUCAUUCAGAAUAUAGGAUAUAGAGCUCAGCUGCUAACCCGAGUAGACGAGUUACAGAGUACAGGAUCGGCCGGACAGAGGGCUAGCCUUUCCUUCUUCCAUUUCGUAUGAGUCAGACAAAGAAGACGACCCCCACGUAGCGGGGAAGGUAUUCAUAGGCUUGACUUAGUUGUAGAGGUGAGUACUCUCUUUCAUGAAAAAGUCUUAGGAUCGACGAUCAAUGAAUCAGUCUUUCCAUAGGCAGCGGGUAGAAGGCGGAGAGGGGCCAAGGUCAGAGGCUUAAAGUAGCUCGAUCGGGAGCCAGAUAGGCGAAAGAAGAGAUCCCACAUACUAAGAAAAAGAUGGGGAAGACUGAGUUUCUACAGUUGCGGCUUCAAGGUCCCAGUGGAAGCUUUUCUCUUCGGUUGAGGUGCAAAGAAUAUUGCGGAGAGACCGGCUUUACCGAGUGGAAGGGGCAUCGGGCUGUAUUCUCUCUUUCCCGCUCCGUGGGUCUGUCUCCAGAAGAAUGGGACUGAGAAGGCAGUAGCACAAGAAGAUUUAGUGGAAUUCGAACAUAAGAAAAUCAACGAAAGGAUGAAAGGGAAUGAUAAGGAUGAGUAUGAAAAGGAAGAAAGAGAAAGCCAAACUUAUUAGCCGACCACGGAGUUUGAAUUAGAAUCUAUUUCAAAGCACUUAUGAGCCGACUUAUACCGCCUCAAUGAACAAGGGGAAGACGAAGCUCUAUCUAGAAGCCCCACUACACGGGAAACCCCACAGUGAUCGAGAUAAAGAAGAGAUCUUUCUCUCUCUUGAGGCUGGAAUGCGAGACCCAGUCUUGGAUUCCUUGUUCCCGAGUUCUUGAAUGAGAAAGAUUAAAUAUUAAUGGAUUGGCCUAAAGCAUUCAUUUCACUCUUUGUACUUGGAUUGACUAAUAAAGCUAGACCUUCCCUUUCUUUUUGCAAAUGCAAUGUGAAAAGGAAUGGAAACCCGGGGAAGAAGGUCAAUGAACCACUACAAAUUCAGGCGUGAGGCUAAAGGGAAAGAUCGAGGACCAGGCUCUGCUUCAAUACAGAAUAGAAUGAACCUACCUCUCCCCACUUGCUCUGCGGAAAAAGCGGAAUUCUUGGUCUUACCACUUUCCUCUCGUAUUCUAAUUUACGGGAGAGCGCAUAAACCGAGAUCAGGUCGUAGGGGACAAGGGCCGCUUCCUAGCUGAUAAUCUUUCUGAUACAGCUAAAUCAACCGAUACAAUCCAAGUUCAUUGAGAACGGAGCAUUCUCUUCUCCUUCUUAAAUGGCUCGAGCGGACUGGACUCAGUCUGGCGACCCGACUAAAGAGAGUUUCGGCAUAAAUAAAGAAGACUUGCUUUGACCUUUUUGAAUGCGAAAAUUCAUUCCCGCUCCCCAACAAUAUCCCUCUUUUCUCGCUGUCAAAAUCCAAUUAAUGGAAUAAAGAGGAUUGAGUUCCAUACCAUACAUAAAUCGAAAGCAGGAAGAUAUAAAAGGAAAGCCUAGGGAAAAGGCAAAGAAUGAAUGGACGAAUCCGUCCUCAGUCGCAAAGUUAUUGAUUUUCGGCGCAAAGAAUAUUGCGUGAUUCAUAGUCCUUCGGAGCGGUUUAAGACAGAUAUUAUUGGAAUCAGACUCAAGAGGAGCGGUUCAAUUACAUCAAGUCUAAUCUUUCUCACGCAAUGAUCUUUGCUCCGAAAAAUAUGGAUAGUCCGGAGGUGAAAAGAAUAUUGACUAGACUGGAAGGUGCGGCUUUCUAUUAAGGAGUGCAAGGUGCAAAGAAUAUUGCUGACUGACAUAUUAACCCCUUUGCUGCGACUGAGGAUGAAUGAAAUAUUCGUCUUGACUGAUUUAUCCAUAUGAACUUCUUCUUUUCCAUCGCUUGAUACUCUGCCGCACCCUUCAGGUCUCCCUUAGUCUUCCUCUUCCUUCUCGCUCCUCUUGCUUUCGGUAUUUCGGUAUCUGGAUCGGUGGGAGAGCACAACCUUCUUAUCAUCUUUGGCGUAGACAAGAGAGAAUGAGUCAACCUCUUAUUCAAGGGAGACUGAAGAAAGAGACCGACCUCCGCUGAGAACCUCUCCUUCCAAUUUGCACGGAGCGUAGUGGGCAGUCUUAUCAAUUCCAUCGAUCCAGGUCUCCUCAUCCUAUAGAAUAGAUAGGGAGAGAGAGAAAGAAGACCUGUGCUCUACUUUCUUUUCCCCAUCCCGCCUCUUCUUUUUCUUUGAAUCCGAAUUCAAUGGCUUUCCCGAUUCCGGGAAGGAAUCCUUGAACCGCUCCGUGGGAUCAAUGCUUUUUCUAUAUUAGUCAAAAUGCACAAAACCCACUCGGCUAUAGGCGAGCGUAAAUCAUCUCAAAUCCAACUAAAUCAUAUGAGUUCGCUCUCAGUCCUGGUCGGAUUAGUGAAAAGACCAUUUGAUGAAGGGUAUGGUUGAGGCUCAAAGAAUAUUGAGUUCGUCGACUGAAGGAAGGCUGAAUCUAAUUGAGAAGGGACGGACGGGGAAGAGCCGUCCAAAAACAAAGGCGCAAAGUCGCAUAUUUCAUUGCGCCGGAGGACUCCUUGGACUUGUUAAUUCCAUACUUCUGCUUCCAAAUUAGUAGGAAGAGUUGGUAUGAAAUAGACUAGGAAAGAGCUAUUCUGAGAGAAAUCGACCAUAGAGAUCUCGGAACUGAGUUCACGAGUCUUGGGGCUGGGUUUCAGGAAGUUUGAGGCAAGGCGCCCACGGAGCGUAGCGACUCUAUCUUUUUGAGAAUCCGCUUGGAAAGAUAGCUACCCCGGAGCGGAGGCGGAGCCGUAGCGUAACGGACAGUAGUUGAAUAAUGAAAGUCAAUCAAAGAAAAUCAGCUCAUUAACGAUAAUGAAAGAAUAAUUCUUCUUGAAUAACCUGGAGUGAAAUAAAGAAUAGACCUCUCAGUAUCCGGAACACAAACUAGAAGUUCUCCAUUGGCAUUUCUUUUCCCUGUCCUAGGACAAUGAAUGAAUUGCGUUUUCCCGGCUUUUUUGCUUCUUUUUCAUAGUUUUUCUCAUAUGGAUAAAUAACGAUAAUUGUCUAAUUUUGACAGAUUUUUCAUGAUUUCUUGCUACUUUAUAGGCCCAAAACCUAGCAUUUCCCUCCGCGGAUUCAUCUGAAAUCUAGCAGAUUCUUUUUGAGCUUCUUUCAUUAUCGUUAAUGAACUGAUUUUCUUUGAUUGACUUUUGUGCCAUAAGACAGGUCCGAAGGCGCAAAGAAUAUUGCGCGGCGUAGGAGAAAGAUAGGAUAACUAGAAAGUAGUUGACGGCUGUGUCCGCUACGCUACGCUUCCGAGAAAGAAAGUAGUUCAAUACAGGAGGCGCAAAGAAUAUUGCUCGAAAGAAAGGCUCUUUUCAGAUUUCGAGUUUACAAAUCCUCCGAAAGAAAGGAUAGGAUAACUAUCAAGUAGUUGACGGCUGUCCGCUACGCUCCGGAGAUCCAGAGAAAGAAAAGUCGUUUACGGCUGAAGGCGCAAAGAAAAGAAUAGAUUAUGCUGAAGGCGCAAAGAAUAUUGCGUCUGACUCGGUAACCAAAAUAGCUGGCUCAAUUCAAGCCCUCGGCAGCUAAAGGCUACUAAUAGUAAUCGUCUGGGUGUCUUAUGAUGAGAUCUCGCCAUUCUUUGGGCGGAAUCUCCUGGUAUCCUCGGAAAAAGCUAUGUAUUCCUUUCUCCUCUUGGAAGAACGCUUCUUCUUUUUUCUUCUUGGGGGGCAGAACAAUUCUGAUGUUUAAAGGGAGCCGAGUUUACGAGGCUCUAUCCCCAUUGUAGUAAAGAAGAUAUAUAGGCCACAUGGCCUAAUGUGGCUUUCAUCUCGCCUAUUAAGUAGAAAGAUGUCGGAAGCUUUGGGGCUCUUCCUGUCGUUGUGGCGGAGUUUUCACUGGUAUGACCGCGAAGUUGAGUAGAUUCAACCCAGCCUGGGUGACCUGCUCAUAUCUUAUAGAGAUAUAAGGGGGAUUGUCUCCCGGGUUAUUAGACCUCCUAACUGGAAGGAUAAUAGAAUUCUUCUCCCUUCUGAUCUCGAGCAGGGGUCAAAACAAUCCCUCUCCUUAGGAAAGAAGAGAUCUUUGAUCCUCUCAUAUAGGGAUCCCCUAGAAUUUUGAAAACAAUCAUUGAGAGAAUGAAGAAUGUAAUUCUCUACUCUAAUAGAAUUGUAGGAAAUGGCAGGAUUCCCCAUGAGGUCCCGCGUACAUGCUCUUGUAACAAAAGCGUUCCAGAACGUUGCGAUCACCCGGUCUUCACUCAACUGAGGAAAGUUGGAAAAGAGCUUUAAAGGCAUCAGCAUUUCUGCCCAUGGAGUGUCAUGGACUCUGAAGCUUGUAGGUAGAUGAUCACCUAUCAUAAUUAGUGGAAUAUUAACCUUAUGUUUUUUCUUCCAAUCCAGAAGAUCAAGAAGACUGAAUAAUCGUUUACUCAGUGAUUUACCAUCUUGUCUCCACCCCCAACAGAACCCAGAAUUCUCAACAAUCAAUAUCUGUGAUGAUAGAUCACAUUUGUCAUAGUCCCGUUUUCUCAUUUUAUCGGUACCCCGGACAAUAGGUAAGACCUUAGAUAGCAUCUCAAGAAGAAGUAACCCUUGGCAGUCUGGACCCCCGUAGAGGUAGAGCUCCUUCGUCUCCAGGGGCCUAUCCCCAACUAAGUUUACAGCCAGCCAGUCCAGGACAUAAUAUUUUUCAUUCAAUUCCUCGGGACUGUACACCUCGGGCCACCCCUUUUGAUCAAGAUAUGAAAUAAUGUUCUCAGCUAGCCUCAUUUCUCUGAGCUUUUUAUCUUUUUGGAUAGAAUUCCACUUAUCCUUUAUAGAUGUGUAUUUUUGAGAACCCAAGAGUAGCUUCACUAGCUCUUCGCAAUAUUCUUUGCGCCUCGGACCACUCCGCGCAGUCCGUCAUCUUCUGAGAGAUAGUCUUUCGUUGAUUAGCCAUUUUUUUUUCUUUGCAACAGCAUUAGCCUCAUCUAUGAUAUCUUGCAGAGAAAACUGACCCCAAAGGUCUCUUAUCAACACUCAGAAUGUGAGCACACACGGUACGCCAUGUCUUAGGAAAAGAAAGAUCACAUUGAUCCCAAUCAUAAAAAGCCUUUCGGAUCAAACUAACGGAAGUAUGCCUACCCGCCGUAUUGACGGCUACUGAGUAAUGGAUGCUACCUUCCUUUCUGAAAAAAAUGAUAAUAGACACGCAACGGAGCGUGUUCUCAAUACGUAGCGCAAUUUCCUGAGGUGAAAGCACUUCACUGUUAUCAGAGCGAGACAAUCUAAUGAAAACAAAUCUACUUAUAUUGGUAACUCAUUUUCAUAUUAUUCUUUGUUUACUCCCAUUCCUCACAACCAAAAAAGACACAAUGAUUUGGUUGUCUUAUAACUAAAUUAUAUCAAUUAUCGUAGAUAAUUGUUGGGUGGCAUUUCUUCUCCUAACCCUCUAAUUCCCCCACCGCAUUCUUCUUUUCCUAUUAGGUUCACAGUCUUUGAGGGUUCCUCCUCUCCUCCUUCUUCCCUUGAUCGCCUUCCCGUACUGAUGAAACUGACUACGACUUCAUCCCCCCACCUAUCUACCCUCUUUCUCAAAAUCCCCGACUAUCCAUAUAUUUGUGUUAAGCAUGCCUGGCCAUAUCUCUGAAAUUUCCCACCCCCAGGUUCCCCUUUGCCUUAUUAGCAUCCCUGACCCUACAUCCCAGGUAUUUAUCCCCCAACCAGACCACCAACUAGAAGUUCUAAAUUGUCAUUUCAUUUACCUAAAGGACCAACCGUGUACGGGGAUAUAUUUAAAGAGAGUCCUAAAGAAGCAACCGUAGAUAUAGGAUAUAUCCACCCUGACCCUUAGAUUUCCCUGAUCCCCACCAACUAGAAGUUCUAAAUUGUCAUUUCAUUUACCUAAAGGAGCCACAAUGUACAGGGAUAUAUUUCCCCUAGAACCUGACCGACCCUACUUCCAAGCUUCCCCGACCACCAACAGAACCCACAAGUUCUUUCUAAGGACCCACAAUGGAAUUUGUUGUUCUAUAUUUCUCCCAGGAUAUAUCCACCCUGAUCCGUGAACUAAACUAUAAGUUCUCAAUUGGCCUUUCAUUUCCUCACCGUAUUCUGGGAUAUAUUUUUCAUGUCGGAGAAUCCGUGAAGUGUCUCCUCCUUUCAUGAUGGUUAUAGUAAGUUCUAGCAAUCAACAAAAUAAAAGGAAGCAGAUGUGAAAAGAAUAUUGAUCAACUUCGGCUGACUCCUAGCUAAACCGAAGCUCCCUUCAAGGAGCUGAGUAAAUACACCCCUAUCCCCCAAAAGUAUGAAGAAAAAGCAAAAUCAAAGUAUGAAGGCGAAAAAAGAAGAACAAGGCAGCCGGAUGUAUGGAUCGAUAUCCCUGAAAGAUGGAAAAGCCGGACCUUAGGCCGGACCUCUUAGUUAGCCCUAUUAGUUAGCGAGGAAAAGGACUCAAGGCAAUAGCGACCUGUCCGUAAAAGUACUCAAAAGGUACUCAAAACGUAGGAAAAAGGUUUGAAUACCGACUUGCAUGUGUUAAGCAAUGAAAGAGGAAAGCCUAGGACAAUGAAUGAAUUGCCUGCCUUUUCUUUGAGAGUCCUACUUCGGUUAAUUACGGAUGGUCCUACUUCGGUUAAUUACGGAUGGUCCUACGGAUAAAUCCUCCGGACUACUUCUAAUGGAUAGUCCUACGGAUAAAUCCUGCGGACUCCGGACUCCGGACUACUUCGGUUAAUUACGGAUGGUCCUACGGAUAAAUCACCUGGACCUUUCUUUGGCCCAUAUGGAUGGUCCUACGGAUAAAUCACCUGGACCUUUCUUUGGCCCUGCGGACUGCGGACUCCGGACCCUGGACCUUUCUUUGAUGGCGCAAAGAAUUUGCGAAGAAGGACUAUUAGGGGAUUGAGGAUAGAUAAGCUUAGGCAAUAAGGCAUGAAAGUCAAUGAACAAGGGCAACUGCUGCUGCAACUACUGGAAGUCUCGCUGCUUAUGACGACCAGACUCUUCUUUCUUUGAGCUUCCGCAGAAGACUUUAUCUAAUAUCGGGGUAGAACUGCUAAGCACCUAGCAUGAAAGCAUAAAUAAGGAAGACGGAGCGGUCCCGAGGUACUCUUUCUAAUUCAAGCCCUUUUUCUCCUUCAGAGUCGAGCCUAAUUUGACAGGAGUUUUCUUCCACGAAAGGCUUAGCUCGAGCAAGAACCUCUCCUCUUAAGUCGAGCGGCAAGGUGCUAAGAAUAUUGACAGGUCGAGCUGCCGAUUGAUCUCGUAUUCAUACUGAUCCUACUAGGUCAAGCUGCUAGCUACUAAUCCGACCAGCCGCACCCAAGUCUACUUCUCAACUCAGACUUGAUGAAAGGAAUAGUGACCUACGAACGGCAAGAACAACUACAACUGAGAAAGAAACUUCCGAUCAAGUAGAAGGCUUUCUUUGCCUCCGCACGCACCCUUGUUUUCAGGUUCAGGGGACCCCAUCUUGCACUUCCAGUCCCUUAGAAAUUUCAUCGAAGACUAAUUAAAUUAAGUCAUAAUCAUAAAAAAGAGAAGAAGUUAAUAUUCCCUAAUGGAUAGUCCUUCGGACCUGUCUUAUGGCGCCUUCGGUUCAUUCUAGUGGACCUAAUGGAAAGGACUGAGGACGUCCGAAGGACUCUAAACCGGACGGUCGAGAUCCAUCAAAAUAGAAGUUGCGCUUUCUUGAUUCUUAGUAGGUUUCAAAGUUUCUAUUAUCAGAAGAGCUUUAAAGAGAUCAAUGAAGAAGGUUCAAAGAAUUUUCAGUCUGAUUCUGAUCGAUGUUAUUGGGAGAAUUGAAUUUUGAUCCGUCUCGCUUCUUAUCUCAACUUAAAGAAGGAAAGCCUAUCCUACUAUAUAUUCUUUGCACCGCUCCGUGGGUUCUCAAUAUUCUUUUCUCAUCAACUGCAACCGACUGCUACUCCUGCAACGGGGGACCCAACUAAAUCAGAAUCAUCAUAGUUCGCCCUUGGUCCAACUCUCUUUCUCUGACUCUAUUCAUCGAUCGCUUACUCUUUCAGUGACUCAGCCACUCUCCUCUUUUACGGGAGCUUUUCAUUGAGGGCCGUAGAAGGAGCCAUGCAGCUUCCUAUCCUUAUUGAUCUCUCCUUAUAACUAGCCCCCGGCGGUGACUUCUCUCCGUCGUAGCGUAGCCUACUUCACUUAUUAAUUUAUGGUUAAGCAUAUCCUUUGGAGUUCUUCCGAGUCAACAGUGGUCAAGCAGCAUAACGAAAGAAGAGUUAUUCAGCAGGACUCCCGUAUCGCGGACUCUUCUUGCUUUCAGUUACCGCGGAGUGGGGCAAUGAAUGGAAGAACUUCAAGGGAUGAAAGAGGUGGGGUUGCUCGGGCGUAGAAUACCUCUAUCUAUGAUAUAAUGGGGGAAUAUGAGUUCAUUGUAUUAGAGCGGAUCCAACUCAUGAUCUUCCUUCCUAUUCGACGGAUGAGCUACAUAGUUCAUUGGGAAUCUUUGUUUGCUUUCUUCUUUCUAGAAUUAAUUGAGUUCAUUAACGAGAUGAAAAUCUAAUAUAAGCUUUGCUACUUCACCAAGGACAGCUAUUAUAUUACUUCCUCUUCUCUCUCCUUAACAUAAGAGUUGCUUCGCACCUUUGGUCUCGCAUUUCAUCCUCAGCUAAAGCAGCUACUUCGGGAACAAGAACUGAAAGAGCUACCGCUGAAACCGCUCCGAAGGAGUCUUCUUUGCACUCGUCCUUACCCAGCCUCCAGCUUCUUAUUUGACGGAGGCGCAAAGAAUAUUGCGUCUUUGAGCCUCUAAUUCAACAGACCCUAGACCCUCAGCCGACCGACCCGAACCUGUCCGCCUCUGCCGGCACUGGGGGGACUGGCACAAGAUCGACUGAUGACUCUCCUCUGACUACUGAUUCUGAUUCCCCUGGAAGAGCUGCUUCCCAACCGACCCGGUGGGUUUGAACUCCGAAGAUCUACCAGAACUCUUGACUGAUAUCGCCUGCUUCCUUCAAUUCCGGUUCUCCACUUAAAGUACUUCUUCCCGUCGAGCAUAUUCAUACUUUGGAAACUAAGUGGAUAAUAAGAAUCAGACCCUCUCCUUUCCCUAUCGGAACUCUGACGAUUACUCUACCCUAUCCGGAUCCCUACCUUUCUAUAGUUUUUUGAUGUUAAUACGGGGAAGCAGCUCGGACAACUCUAGUCGAAAGAGAUAAUGCGUCAUCUCAUGACUCCGGAUGUCCCCUUUUAGGGAUCCCUAUCGUGCCUAUUUACGGGGAAAACGGAAUUCAAACUAGAGUAAUUUCAUGAAUAGUGAGUCAAAAAAUGGGUUCUUUUCCCGCUCCUUUGGACGUAGAAGGACUUCUCCUACGGCUCCUACAGAGUCUUAUUCCUUGCCGCGUAGGAGGCGUAGAAGGACUCCGGAUUCCUUUCUUUGCGCUCCUUUCUUUCUCUCUCCAUUUCAUGCGCUUCGCUUCUUUUAGAAUAGCGAAUAGUCACCAUCAAUAUCCGAAGUUGUAGGAGCAAAGAAUAUUGCGAGACCGCUCUACAAUAUCCAUUCUUCCCGCUACGUGGGCUUGUCUCUCGCCUCUCAACAAUAUCCCUGUCUUAUGGCACCUGGAAGUCUAGUCAAUAUUCUUUGAACCUCCGGAUAGUCCUUCGGACGGGAUAUUCUUGGGAAUUUGAGAAUUUAGAAGUUGCGCUUUAGUAGGUUUCAAAGGUUUUCUAUUAUCAGACGAAGGAUAAAGGCACUUGAAUAUUAGAUCAACCACUAUUUCUCGCACAUUCGCACGCCUUAUUUAUUAUAUUACUUGUAAAUAUCAACUUAUUUCAUUCCUUUCUAUGAUUUUCAUCAAUAUGAACAGGGGCACCCCUUGAAUUAGUUGUUGCGGAUGAACUAUCAGUCCUUUCGGUUGCAAACUCGGAUGAAAAGCUUCUAUUCUAUUGAUUUCUCUGAACGAGAAGAAAUGGAACAAGGGAUGAAAUAGCAGGGACAAACUCCCCAAUCCCCUCCACACCCAGCCAGAUCCAGUCCCUCUCUCUUUCCUUAGGCCCCAUUCGUCGGAAAAGAAAGAUGAAUAAGAACUCUCGGAAUGAGAAUGAAUGAUCAGCGAGGCGGUGGGAUGAGUCCACGCGACCUGAUCUUGAGGCAGUGGCGGAAGUCCUUCUUCCGGUUUUAGCUCUUUCUCUUGACUUUCAAUGGUCCAUUUUCUCAUCAUCUCCGAAGCUUACCCAUCAAUACAGAGAGGGGGGGAAUCGGGCCUACCUUUAUGCGCUCGAUCCUCACGCCUCUCGCCUGGCUUAUUUCUUCAUUGAUUUACUCGUCUUAGAUUAGGCUGGGGGGGAUGAAACUGAAAGAGAUCCCUCUCCCUACGGUCUCGCUAUUUCAUCCCUCUCCCCGAGAGUUUUACCGAACCUUUCUUUUCCUUUUUUCAUUAAGUCAUAUUAUUCAAGAACCACUCCGAUGAAAACAAGAGGAAUUAGAAGGAUCCGAAGGCAUUAGGAGAUUAGGACUUAGUCCGUAAACACCGGCGUCUUACGAGACCAGUUCUUCUGAGGAGGUUAGUCAAAUAAAGGGGAUUGCAAUUUCUCCGCCUUUUAGAGAUAGGUCAAAAUAUCUCGACCGAGUUAGGUGCAAAGUCAGCCCUUCUAAUAGUCCGGAGGCGCUUCUAAUGGAUAGUCCGGAGGAUUUAUCCGUAGGACAUGGAAAGAAGGGUCCAGGUUUCAUAAGACUCCUUCUACGCGGUCUUCGCAAUAUUCUUUGCACUGGGGGAGGGCUCAAAGAAUUAUCGAGUUGCGUGAGAAAGAAGAUUUCCGCUUGAUUUCUCCGCGGUGUAGAGUAGGAUCAUAGGACCGAGUCAGUCGAUCUUCUGUAGCAACUCUGAUUCAUGAAAGGACUCGUCCGCUCCGCUCCGUGGGCUGAAUAAGGAAAAAGCACCUAACCCUAGGCUGGACUUCCUUCCUAUAUGGGGAAUACAAUGAAAGCAAGACUACUACUACCUAAUAGGUAAAUCAGGCACCCUUCAAGAUUCAUUCAACUAGGUCUUAGGCUUGACUGGGACAGCAGACUCAGCCUUUUCCUUUUCUUCCUUUUCAUCUAGACCUUUCUUUUUGGGAUCCGGCGGCUUCUUGAUGACUCUUGGCUCGGCCUCCUAUCUUCUUCGCUCUUCCAUCUCCAGCUCAUAAGCUCAUUCUUUUCUGCAAAUGAGCUCUUCUUCUCUUUGAACUCAUUUGAUUAGUCCUUCACCCGGAUUGGGAAUAUUUCAUUCAUUUCUCUUUCAUGAUCUCUUUCGGAAUGUGGUAAUAAACGACUUAUAUCUUUAAUAAGAGCUUGAGAAACUACUAUUUCAUUAUUCUAUCUUAAAUAAUCUUGAGCACUUUCGCAGGUUCGAAGGCUGAAUUCAUUGAGAAGAGAGAGAAAGAGAAGAGCUUGAGAAUGAGUUCUUCUUCAUAGAUGAUUAUCUCUUUCUCUUUUGAUCUUUUAUUCGACUAUGAAAAAGAAUGUUCGCGCAGAGACAAGGCUCCAUAAGACAGGGAUAUUGUGAGGUCCUCCGCCUAGAAAUGAACUUUGCGACCCACGGAGUAAGCCCACGUAGCGGUGCCAUAAGACAGGGAGAUUUUUGAGAGAUUCUUUAUAUAUUGAUUCCUAGAAUCUUCGUCCUAAGGCGAAGGACUGAUUAAUGGAACUAAAACGACCCACGGAGCGGUUCAAUUCCCACUACGCGGGAGGUUCAAAGAAGAUUGAAUUGAAGAAUUCUAGUUCUUCGGUUGAGUUCCUUCUUUUAUUCAAAUGCAUCCCAUCUAAGGUUAGCUCUCUGCUCGGACUGCUAUUGGCGCCCGGACCCAGGAAGGAAUAUUGGGACUGCUCAUGGGGAAGGAACCCCGUACCCACCACCCCAGGAAGGAAUUAAUCAGACUGCUGGGUGUGCCGGAUUUGAUCUUUUAUCAAGACUAUUCCAAAGAUUACUAUCGGACAAGAAAGAGAGAGGGAUUGCCUAGCCGCCGACCCUCUCAUCCUCUACUCUUACGUCCUCCUCCUUCCUAUCCCGCCGAAUAUUGAAUACCCUCUGUUCUACUCCUCCGGAGCGGUCGAGCUACUUUGAUUGAAUCUUGGACUCCUUUAUUUCAGUCUAGUGCGAACAAGGGCUUUCUCUUGAUUUUCAGACUAGGCCGCUCCUAGGCUUUUUUCUGCUCCGGAGAAUAGGCUGAGUCUUAUUCCAUAGGUUAAGGCUUCGCUUUCCUAUUUGAGUCCUUCGGACAGGUCUCGCUAUUCCAUAACCUCGAGGUAGAAGGAGAUUCCUUUGAUUUUCUUUGCCGACUUUUCUCAUUUCUUUCUAAUCUUUUUGAUGUCAAAGGAAAGGCCAGUCUGAAAAGGAAGAAGACGAGGAUCAAAGAAUUUGAGAAGGUGCAAAGAAUAUUGCGGAUUUGAUGAGUGCAAGAAAGAGAAAAGCCGCCGGGCUGGGGAAGCCUGAUAUGAUAAAUAAAGAAUCCUCCUCUCUUUUCCAAAAGGAAUGAAUCCGAACAUGAAUAAAAAGAAGAGGGCUUUUAUCAAAUGAUGAUGAAAAGGUGGGUACUGUGCGCAUAUGCUUAAGAUAUUCCUUGAAUACAAAUACUGGUAUUUCAGCCCUCUCCUAGCGAGCUGGCGAUUUCAGUGCCACUGACUAUGAAACUGAUCCUGCUCUUCCGACCUCCAGGCUUAGCUUAGGUCGACGCUUUUUCUUGAACUCCGAGAUGUGAAGAUAAAGAAAUAAGGAGAUGAUUAUAAGGACGAAGGCAAAAGUAGACAAGAGCGAUGAAAAAUCAAGGUCAUCUGAAACCUUCUUUUUGAUGCGCCUCAGGCGCCAUAAGACAGGGAUAUUCUUGAAGGCUCCGACCGCAGAGUUUGAAUUAUAAUGGUGGCGGGGGCUUCGUGGGGUUCCCUUCCGAUCCUUUCCAGAAGAGCUACUCACUUCCCUUCCUAUAGCGUGGGCUUCCUUCCUCUCGCUUGCUGGAGAGAAUCCGAAGAAAUCAACAACCUUGACUUUCUUAGACAGAACAUAUGGUAUACACUGCUAAUAUAGUAUACAAGAAAAGGAGAAAAUAAGCCUAAGGCCGACGUACUUGAAGGUAAGACUCAUUCCCGAUCAAACUCUUUCUCUUCUCUCCCUAUCGGUCCUUGUGCAUUUUCUCCGUCCUGUACUUGCCUGCUUAGCUUUCUUAGCCAAGAUCUCCGGUUUCCCCCGAACCAAGAGGUCCCGCUUAUCCAGACCCAAGAGUCACACUGAAGCCGAAAGACUGAUUUCUUUUUUCAUUCGGUGAAUAUCAUAGAUCAAGAAAGAAUGAAGUACAGGGACGGCGAUACGUCUUUGAAUACGAGCCUUUUCCCAGCUAUCAACCUAGCCAUUCUCCCUUCUUGCGGGUCUCCCCACUUUAUGUGGGUAUAUAUAGGCUUCGUCGAGAAUACCAAGUCGAUCGGCAAGGUUUCGCUCCUCCUCUUAGUUAGGGAGGAAGGGUGGAGGGAUACCUCUCGGCCGAUUUCAUCAUUAGAAACCCAUCGUCAAAAAGAUAUGCUUGAUCAGCUUCCCUAGUGGUAUUGCCAACUGCCCAGCAUAUACCUUUACUAACUCCACAGCUGCUCCCUCAAUGCACUGCUAUGCAGAGCGGAGGUUCAAAGAGGAUUUCCGUUUAUUUUGAUUUAGCGGGCAGAGAUUUUAGCUAAGAAUGUCUUGACUCCUUGCCUUGCUCAAUGCUUCUCCAUUAACAGCUGCAGGAAGGACAGGAAUAGGAGAAGGAAGAAAGAGAGAGCAAAGUAGUCAGACAAAGGAAAGGGCUCGACCGGUCACCUGGACCCCUUAUAAUUACCAUAUUAACCUGCCUUCGGACGGCUCAAAGAAUAUUGAGAAAAAGUAUUCCACUAAAUAAAGUAUUCUAACCUCUGCGGUCAGUCCUUCGGACCAGGUGCGCGAAGCGACUGCCCAGGGCAAAGAAUAUUGCAAUUGAGUUCAUCAUUCAGCCGACGGUCCGGAGGCGCAAAGAAAAGAAGCUCAUUAACGAUAAUGAAAGAAGAAAAAAAUGGGAAUGCAAAAUAAAGAGGUGAAUAUGGGAGAUUUCAGACAUCGAUUUUAGUCUUUUUGACGGAGUGAAUUCCAUGAUUUUGCUAGGUUUUGCCCAUAGGAAGUAGCAAGAAAAGACAAAAAAUCAGUCAAAAUUGAUCUAUUUUCGUUAAAUAUCAAUCUUCGAAAAAGUAUGAAAAAGAAGCAAAAAAGCCGGGAAAACGCAAUGAAAGAAGAACUCCUAGGACAGGGAAAAGAAAUGAACAGAGUUUGAUUAUGGUUUCUGGUCCGGAGAAAGAGAGGUCUAUUCUUUAUUUCACUCCGUCUUCAAUCUCAAAAUCAAUGAAGGAGUACAAUGAACAUCAUAAUGAUUCUUUCAUUCGAGUUAAUGAGCUUCUUUUCGUCAAUAUUCUAUAUUCUUUGCGCCUUCGGACGGAAGGACGAGUCUUAUUCCACUAAAUGCCCACGGAGCGGUUCAUAUUGACAAGGUUUCGGAAGAUCUUCUUUUUGUCCCAAUGCCCGCUUAGCUCAGAGGUUAGAGUAUCGCGCAUUUGUAAUGCGAUGGUCAUCGGUUCGAUUCCGAUAGCCUUUCUUUCUCUAUUUAUUGACUUAUUGAUUUAUUGAAAUACUCGUUUUAGUGGCGAGGUUCAAAGAAUAUUUCAUCGGCUUUCAAGGUCAUUAUGUGAAAGAGAACUCAGGAAAAAGGGGAAGAAAGCCCACCGGUCGGUCGGGUCGGUCCUCCCAGCCAGGUUCGGAAACUAGAUCCGGCUUCGAUCUUGAUUCUUCUCGUGCUGAAUCUGGUGCUUGAAGUUUUUCUCUGCUUUCAUGCCUCAUCCCUGAGAUCGGAUCGCUCGUGACGUUAUGAGAAAGAAGGCAAAUUGGCUUGCUUAAAACGAGAAAGAAUGGUAUUGACAUGUGUCUUCACUUGUUUCGACCUGUAAAUAGAGUGAAAGGCCUUUCUUUUAGCGCCUUGGAAUCACGAUAUGAAAGCACAACUACUUGUGCCGAAAGAAGUCAGUGAGCGCCUCCUACCUCACCCCUUUUCUUGCUUGAACCCAAAGCAUUCGGAGAUUUGACCCCUCCAGAAUCAUUGAGGCGGUAGUCCAUUUUUCACCCAAAAGACAUGCCUCAUCUGAAUCUGAUUGAUCUAUAUGGAUUUCGAAAUCUUCUUUGAGCCUCACGCAAACCGCAAUAUUCUGCAUUGAGCCUUGGCACCUGUCCUCCGGACUAUCCCGCGGAGUGGGAUUCUUUGAGCCUCCUCCUUCGAAAAUUUCAUUCAUCCUCUCCUUUCCUCUCCUUUCAGUCGAGCCCUCCUACGCAGCUUAAUAUGUAAGCGGGAAUCAAUAUGCUCCAAAGUCAGAAGAAGAAAAGAGAAAAGGAAUAAGUCAGAACCUAAAAAAUACCAAAGUUCAGUCAGAAUCGAAUGAGAGAGAAGAGGAGCUAAAAGGAAUAAGACGGAGUAGGUGCCAUAAGACAGGGAUAUUGUUGAGAGAAUAUUGAGAAUUUGAGAAGAAGCGAAGCAAGUCAGAAAAGGCAUCAAGUUCAUAUUCCAUCAAGAGUCCUUAAUAUGGAAUAAGAAGGAAAGCCUAGGCUUUCUUCCUUUUUUUUAGUGGCUGAUCUUCCCGUAAGAAGAUGAGUGAUAGCAGCUUCCUUUGCCCCUCUCUCUCUCAGUAUUGGGAAAGUAGCUUAAUACCUACCUAGCAACCUAUCCUUCUCAUACGAACUGGAACUCUGAUGAAUGAUCUUAUGCUGCCAACUUAGUCCUACGAAGGGAAAGAGAGAAUGAAAGAGAAAGAUAGCGCUUGUAGGCUCAAUUAAGAAGCUUGAGGCUGGUUCUUCCCUCGUGAACUAAGCAUAUGAUAGCCUUUCCAGGAUAGACUACUUCUGCUUACUCAAGCCUACUAGCUUCUGAAACUGACUCAGACUCAACCUGCAGCUACCGAGCGAACAUGGCUACGGCUCCGAGUGCCAUGAAGUUUCAUUCUCUCUUUCUGUAUUCCGAUCCCUGAUUUAUGGAUGUUCAUUGAUUGCCCGUAGGCUUUGUUUCUGACGCUCCUUUAUCCUCUCCUCGAGCUCCUUCUCUCCUUUCUUCGGCAAGGGAUCAAAGGACUGACUCAGUCUCUUGAAGUUACCUUUUUGGACUUCUAUAGUUACGGGAUAACGAGGAAGAUAGCUUCCUCAGUUCUGCUUCCUCGUAGACUAGGUCGAAUGACUACGCUCCGAACCCUACUCAAUCCGCUUUCCUCUUGAGCGCCCUACUUAAGAGUUCUUCCUGGAGGCUAGUCCUACUCUCAUGAAGUUAGCUCCCCAACUCUCCCAACUCAGCAGCAAGGUGAAAAGAAUAUUGAAUCCGUGGGCCUACUUAAUAAUAAGAGUUCCGAUCCGAGUGCCAGGAAUCAAAUAACUCGUCGGAGUCAAGCUGAUAACCGCUCCGUGGGCUGAGAAUGAAAGAGAGAAAGAACGAAAGAAGCCUACUCAGACUCAAGAUCGAAGCCUUUCCGCCUCAGCAGCAAGGGGACCCGUCAGACCUACUCUAUAUUGGUCAAGCUCUUCCAUUCCUAACCCUAUGGGCUGCUUCAGACCGAGUAAACUAGGGAAAGAUCUCAUUCAAGAUCCCUUUGCUAAAUUCAUGGAAGAAGAUCGGAAUACGAAGAAGACCUAUGAAAGAGAAAGAGCUAAGCCACUGACUCAAGAUCGAAGCCUUUCCGCCUACCUUUCUUGAAACUCUUUCGGAAGAUGCUGCUUUCUUUUAUGUUUUUGUUGAAGUAGCCUGAUUUUUGCGUAAUGAUCAAUCUUGCUUAGUUGGUCAGUAGAUCGAUCGUAUCGCUAGAUCGUAAGAUUGCCUGAUUUCACUAUUGAUUGACUCCCAAACAGCUUUCACUUCCGCAAGUUCUGCCACAGCGAGAGCCACUUCCUCUGAUUCAUGCCACCACGAGGCGAGCUUACUUCGUUCUGCCGACUAGGUCCCCUCGUUCAUGUUCAGGCGGGCGGGAUGAAUACGGUUCUCGUUCGAGACCAUAGGCUUGACUUCCAAGAAUUUCCGAAAAAAAGCCUUUCCCCUAGCCGAUGAAUGCCUCUUUUUUGAUUUACCUCCUUUACUUUAGGAGACUCCCAGAAAGAAGAAAGCCUAUCCUCAGAAGAAAGUUCAGUCAGUUUAAGUGGACACUAAAGAAAAAGAAUGAAAUUCCGAGUCCAAGCCCACGGAGCGGGAAGAACUGGAAAGUCUAAUCUUUCUUUUCUCCGCAAUAUUCUGCAUUGAGCCUUGGCACCUGGAAGUCUCGGAAAUCUUCUUUGAACCGGAGGACCUGUGGUCCGAAGUCUGAUUUCAAAAAGAUGAACCGAAAAUCCUCAGAAAAAUCCAUAUUAGCCUUCUCACAUUCCCUAAUGGAUAGUCCUUCGGACCAGUUCUUCCCGCUUUUAGUUCUGACUUUGGGCCUCAGUAGCUUAAUUCAGAAAUCCAUAUUAACCCCUUUGCUGCGACUGAGGCUCAAAAACAAGGGUGCAGAUGAGUUUCAUUACGUUGAAUCGGUUCCCCCCUCUGUUAGGCGCAAAGAAUUUGCGAAGGACGGUCCGGAGGACUCCCAGAAAGAAGAAGAAGGACUCUAAAACGGAGUGGCUUUCUACUUUCGAAGAAGAUUUCGAGAAGUUUCCGGUAUUUCAUUCUCUGUUCAUGGGACUGGUUAUCAGCCGCUCGAAUGAGGUUAGGAAGUUUUUGCAAGUUCUUUCAGACGCUUACGGGAUAAAUAUCUCUUGACCAUUCCCAAGUCCUUAACGAAAGUUCAGUCAAAUUGAUUUGCAUUCUUCAAAGAAGAAAGAAGUAUGGGCGACUCGGGCCCACUUCCCCUACCCUAGCACUUCCCCUAUCAGGGUAGCUGAUCGGAAGAAUGAGCCAAUAGCCCUGAAUUUCCCUUUUCUUCUUAUCCAUAUCCAUAAAUUGACCUUUUUGCCUUACCAGAGAUAGGGGAAGGCAAGGCUACGCGGACGACUUUCUCAAGAGCUAAAGUGAGACUCAACCUCCGUGCCGGGUACGUACUGACUGAUUCCCCACCUCGCCCCAGAAUCAAAGAAAAAUGUAGGAAAGAUCUUCUCAAAGCAAAUUCCUCUUCUAAAAAUACAGACAAUUGUGCGUGCAAACAAGUUCUCCAAAAAUCAAGGUCAAGAUGCUAGGUCCGAAGGACUAUCCAUAUUAACCCGUCUGUCCGGAGGCGCAAUUCAAUAUGCGGUGCGGCAAAGAAUAUUGCGAAAAAAAAGGCGGAAUGAAAGGGGAUUUGAGGCGCAAAGAAUUUGCGAGGCGUAGGAUCACAGGCUCAAGACUAAGCCCACGUAGCGGUGCCAUAAGACAGGUCCGAAGGCUAGGCGCAAAGAAUAUUGCGAGGACGUAGGACAGGUGACGGGGGAGCUGGAUAUUCUUCAAUAAGACAGGGAUAUUGUGUUCCCGGAAUAUGGAUAAAAACAAGUCCGGAGGACAGAGGACGUUCUAAUGGAUAGUCCGGAGGACCACUAUUUAGGAUCUGGAAAUUCUUUGUAUAGCUGAAAGAAUGAUCGAAGCGAAGUUCAGCUUCAUUCCUAGGGCAUGUCCUUUUGACUCUCAGAAAGAAGAAAUGAAAUGGAUCUACGAAAUCCCCUAAUGGAUAGUCCUUCGGACCUGUCUUAUUGCGCCUGGACCUUGCUAUUUUGGGGGGUGAAUUGAAUGAAUUAUGAACUUUAUGACUCUGACUGAUGAGUGAGGUCUUCAAAAAAAAGAGAAUAGAAUGAAAUGGGAUGGAUUGCAUCUCCAUUUGUGCUUGAAGCAAGUAGGCGAGGCGAAUCUAUGCUUUCUAUCUUGAAAUGGGAUAGCAAUUGCUUGGAUGCCUUUCUUUGAAAGCCUCGAGAUGACUUGCAGAAAAAAUGCUUGAUAGGUGCUUUCUCUUCUGUCUCCGUAAGAAAUGGUCCAUUUAUUGAUGGGCGAACGACGGGGAUUGAACCCGCGCGUGGUGGAUUCACAAUCCACUGCCUUGAUCCACUUGGCUACAUCCGCCCCUACCCCCGCUUUCAGUCUCGAGAUAGGAUCCAGAUCCUUACCCCUAGAAAAGAUAAGCUUUUUCCUAUACCUUGCAAGUCUAUUCUUGUGUUUUGGAAUUAGGGGAAGCAAAGCUUCAACAAGUCGGCCGCUUCCUGGCAAAGCUUCAAAGAAAGAGGUUAGGCUGUUCACACUUGGGCAAAGAGGAAUUUGGAAGCUCCACACGAACCUAUUUCCGCUAUUCCGGGUAGCGAAAUCAAGGUUUAUGAUUCAGCUUUGGUCUUCUACCUUUGCCUAGUCUCGGUCCACAGUGGAAGGCUCCGCACCGCCUCAAUGAACAAGGCGCAAAGUCGCAUAUUGAAUUGCGCCGGAGGACCAGAAAAGGAGAGAAGAAGAAACCCGACGCCUAGUCUAUAUCUACAGCUGACGCAACUCCGUACCGACGCCUCACUACUACUACUUAAUGAAUUAAUUAACGGCUAAGCUCUUUCAUAACCUCUCCCCAUUUUCCGGGAGAGCUGACUCUUCUCAAAUUCUUUGAGCCUUUCGUACUCUUGAAAAAGAAGAGAGAAUGAUCAAUGAAAAGUUCAGGAGAAUGCAAAAGUCUUCUGUCUCAUUCUUUGAAUUUCGUUAGCUUUAUUUAGGUCGAGACAAGGUGAAAAGAAGAUUGAAGUAGUGGGCUUUCCUUAACCAGCUGACCUUACUUCGUAACCUGGGAUCUUGUCUUUUUUUUAGUGGAAUAACUCCUAACUACGGGGUCAAGGUGGGCUGUAAAGAUCUUUUACAAGCAAGAUGGUUUUAGAGGUUCUUUACUUGCUUACUUGUAAGGGUCCCGGCCGUGCCUUACUUCCUUUGUCGGUUCUUUGUUAGCAGCAGGUAAGACUUCUCUCAAAGAUGAAAUAUCGUCGAAUGGAAUGCUAUUCAUCUUAUUCGAGCCGGUUCUGAGGUAUCUCCCGAUUCCAUGACUGAUGAGAGAUCGAAUGGGAGUCCUAACCUAAGCAACUGCUUCUCAAUAUUAUAUUCUUUGAUCCCUCCGUUAGGCGCAAAGAAUAUUGCGAGACCGCGUAGAAGGAGUCUUAUGAAACCUGGACCCUUCUUUCCAUAUGGAUAGUCCUCCUUCCCUCCAUAUGGAUGGUCCUACUUCGGUUAAUUACGGAUGGUCCUACUUCGGUUAAUUACGGAUGGUCCUACGGAUAAAUCACCUGGACCUUUCUUUGGCCCUGCGGACGUAGGACCCUGGACCUUUCUUUGGCCCUGCGGACGUAGGACUGCGGACUGCAGACUCCGGACUACGGACUUUCCGUAAUUAACCGAACUUUGAGAACUAAUCUCAACUUUGAGUUUACGGCUGAACUCCUUUUUUGACCUCCGUCACCUAAAGAGGAAAGGUAAAGAGAUCACUCAACUCCUCUAUAUAUUCUUUGCGCCUUCGCUUCGCAGACAUUUUUCAUCGAAUUUCAGACCUCUUUCUCUUAAACUACUUUGUCUUUCUUCUGAUCUCAACUAAUAAGUCCAUCCGCUCUUGAUAUAAUAGGUCUUGAACUUUUCAUUGACUUUCAGACUCUUCUUUAAAAUAGAGUUCAUGACUUGCGCUCCUUUCUUCUUUUCUUAGAUAUUCUUUGCUCCGAUCAUUCUUUGAGCCUCCGGACUAUCCAUAUUAACCCUGUCUUAUGGAGCCUUCGGACGAGUCAACCCCUUUCCAAAGCCUUUCGUCAGAGAGAGCGCGCUCUUUCUUUACUCCCUGGAAUUGGCAUUCGCUAUCUGGUCUCACCUCUUCGGGGGUUUUGUGCCGCUGCUCGACCGAGAGGCAUCCCUUUCUGUGGUGUGGCUCUUCUUGAUUCCUCAGUCAACUCAUCUGGUCCGAAGGACUGACCGCAGAGGUUUGGCUCUUGAUUUUCUAGAUCGGUAGGGAGGUUGACCUCAUCCCUUGAUCGGGCAGAUCCUCACCUUAUUUAUGGAUUUAUGUACUCCCACGUUUUUGACUUGAAUGAUUACACCUUCUUUCUUUAAGAAAGAAGAAAGGCUUCAAACUUCCCCGGGGAGGGAAAAGUAGAUUUCUUCGAUUCCUCCCUCAAUGAACCGCGUAGUGGGGUUAAGAGGUUGAAUUGCCGGUAAAGUCACUAUCCUCCCUGUUCGUGGGUAAAAGACCAAAGCAAAGGAAGGAUGCAAAGGGGUCAGACAAAGUGAGGAGACAGAGGAAAGCGCUCAGAGGCAGAAGGCAGAAAGUCCCCACCAAGAGCAUUGGAUGAAGAAGGAAAGGCAGGGACAGGCGAGGAAAACUAAGCCGCGCGGAGAGAGGUUCAAAGAAUUAUCGAAGAGGCAGGAAUGCGAGAGAAGGAAGUUGACGCCCACUCAUAGGCUAGCAGUGCCGGUUUCAUUACCUUUCAGAAGGAAUGCCUUAUUCAUGCAUUGGCGCGUGGCAUAUUUCUUGAUUUAUUGACUGAAACUGUUCCGGGAGAUGAAAGCAAGAUUAUUAAGGGAUCAGUUAGGCUUUUGGGACAAGUCCUUCGACCUGCACCCUUUCCUAUUGCUUCGAGCUAUCCUACUCGUUCAUAGAAGAAGAUUCUUUCAAGAAGAACUGCGACAGCAGCCACAACGGCAAGAUCCAAUUCAAAGGUCUUCCUCAUCCCUAGUGCUUAAAAGAGAUUCAUUCAAUUCCUUACCUUUCGUCGGUCAAGCGGGACAGCUCAGCGGCUCUUUCUCCCGCUGGCCUAGGGUUAGCUGUAUCCAGCGCCCUACUAUUUCUUCUUUUUUCUCGCUUUAGAAUCAUUUUGAUGCUAAAAAAACCAGGAAAUCGGCAGUUUCAGUUCCUCUCAUGGAAAGCCUAUCGAAAGCCUAGGAGAAAGAAUUGCAUUUUUAUGCCGACUAUCCACUGAAAGUAGAAAAGGAUCAGAAAACAUAUGCUUAUCCCUCUUCCAGAGCAGCUUCUUCUAACCUCUUUCUUUAGCUCGAUCCUAUUCGUUAUACCCAUUCUAACCUCUCUCGCUGCUGAGCACCGCGUAGUGGGUCUACCUUCUAGUUCUAGCUGGAGGUCCCACGAACUGAUUAGAAUAGUAGGAGUCUAGCUCCUUGUAAACUACGUCUUCUUCGCACCUGCACCCUAUCGGUCGGUAUGGUAUGUUCUAUCCCAAACCUAUUCCUCACUGAAACAGCCCUUCCUUCCUAUGAGACGGAUGAGCUACUUUCUUUCUCAAGAUCGAAGAAGAGAUAAUUACCUUGCUUCUGAGAAUAGACGAAGGUUCGAGCUACUCUUUGUCUCCUUACUGAAUACCUCUGAGCGAGCGAGUGCCUCAUUUAAGAGACUUUCUCUUCCGAACCUGGGACUUUUCUAUUUGUUACGAGACUGGUGGAGCACCCUUCUUCCGAUUGAGCUUACUCAGUCGAGGCAGAUUCCCAUAUCAGUGUAGUAUGAAGAGCUAUCCUUCCACCUUGAUUUCAUAACAUAUCUACAUUUCUCAUAAAUAGCUUGACUCAACGACAAGAACCUCUUAGACGGCUACUUCGUCAACAGACACAAGAAGAGGAUCAUCUGCGGGAAGAAGAACUUCCCUGCCUCUCCUCUGAGAGUGGAGUUAGAGCGAACCUAAAGACCCUUUGUGUGCCUUUGGAGACUAAAAUAAAAGGAAGCUAAGCUUGAUAAAGUCAUCUAGCCCUUUGUUUUUGGGGAAUCAAUAUAUAAAGAAUAGUCUAUAUAUUCUUUGCGCUCAUUGAUAAGGGCAAAUUUCAUUGAGCAGUUCUUCCCGUGUAGUGGUCCUCCGGACUAUCCAUCAGGCCUCCUACGCAGCAAAGGGGUUAAUAUGUCCUUAUCAAUGAGACGGUUCAAAAUGGUCCUUAGUGGAACGAAUAUGAAUUCAGCCUCCUACGCUUUAAUACUCCGGAAGGUUUUCGCAAUAUUCUUCAAGUGGAAGGCAAUAUGCUCAAAUUAGGUUCCACGCAAUAUUCUCAAAUUAGGGCCCACGUAGCGGUGCCAUAAGACAGGUCCGAAGGACUAUCCAUCAGGGAGGUUCAAAGAAUAUUGACUAGACUGGAAGGCUAAGACAGGGAUAUUGAUUUGAUGAGUGCGGAGUCUGAAAUCCAUAUUAAGAGCCUUAUUUACCAUAUUAACCUGGAUAAAGAAGGGUUCAGACGACUCAAAGAAUGAUCAAAAACAAAGGCGCAAAGAAUAUUGCAUGAGAGAAGGACGAGUUUUCUACUUUUUGAGUUCCCAAUAUGGAUAGUCAGCUGGUCCGAAGGACUGACCGCAGAGGUUAGUUGGACGAUCCAUAAGACAGGGAUAUUGUAAGGACUCUUAACGAGUAUGAAUCAUAUAUAUUUGGGAGGAGCAAAAAGAGUAAGGAGUCUUAAAGUCCUUCGGACUGAUUAAUGGAAAAAAAUAGGCGCGGAGGAGAAGGCGAAGAGGGGAAUUUUAGGCAGUACCCCUUCUUUGGGCGUAGGAAGAGGGGACCUUGAUUAAGUCAUUGCUUAUAAAAAAGAAAUGAGGACUUCCAAGGCAACAAACUAGAACCACUUCUGCAGCUAUAGCCUCACGGGCAAAGAUCACCUCCUCCGGGAUUCUUGGUUCACCUUGUUCUGGAUGGAACCGCUCCCUCCCGCUCCGUGGGAAUUGAACCGCUUAUUUCAGUUAUUUAACAGCUUUUUUUACGACAGGUAGAAAUCUUCUUUGGAAAUCCCCCGUCCUCAGUCGCAGGUUAAUAUGGGGAUAGUCCUUCGGACCUGCCUCCAAAAACAAAAGCUCUAGAUGAGGGAUGAAAUAUGCCUUGAAUGAAUCUACCCUUUUUCCUUCCCUAAAGGACCUCUUUGAGCCUGUGGUCCGAAGGACAGACAGGCGCAAAGAAUAUUGCGAGGACUUCGGACCUGUCUUAUGGCACGACUAUUCAUCCUAUUUAAAUAGUGGUCCUCCGGACUAUCCAUUAGAAUGUAAGCUAAGAACCUACUUAAAGGAACUUACGGCAAGGGGCGAAGCUAUACCAAAGGGUGGGUGAGUAUGAAUACAUGGAAAAGCGAGAAUAGAACAAGAACAAAAAGGAUAGGUUUCCUCCCUUUCUGCUUAGUUGGGAGAGGGAGAGUAAUCUUUCUCAGUUUCAUGGGCAGAAGUCUAGCCAGUAUCGUAGCUAAGGACCGAGGAAAUAAUAUGCCCUCCUGUAGGGGCAGGCAGCAAAGGGAAGUAGGUCCCAUCAAGAGAGAGAAGUCAGGGGCACAAACUCGACCUAAGAUAAGAGGCCUGCUGAGUGGGCUCUACAUCCGUCUCUCUUCAGAGUCAGAAGCCCACUACGCGGUUCUUGGGAGUGGGGCUGCUCGACCCCACUACGCGGUUGAGGAAUAGGUUGAAUUAGAUGAAGCUGCUUAUUCGGUAUCACCGAUCAUACGAGGGGACAUACAGAGUUGACUCUUUAUCGGAAUUCUAAGACGAAUGAUCAAUGAAGAAGGGAGACCCUAGCCUCAAUGUAUGUGGGAUCCGAAGCUCUCUCUCUUUCAGUUGAGAGGGAAUCCAUACCACUAUGAUUUUCAAGGGCUAUCGUUCCAACAAGAAGAAUGUUGGGGCAGGUUCAAAGAAGAUUUCCGCUUUCUUUCUCGGUGGAGUUUUACAGGGAGGAAGACCCAGAGGCGAGAGGUUCGAUUCGAUCUGGUGGAUGGCGGAGAUGUAGGCUUACCACCUUCGCUAACAAAGGACCUGAUUUACCUGCUUUACCGCGUAGUGGGAUUUAGUAGGAAGGAAGAAAAGGAAGUCUCGCUUAGAUAGGGGGGGAGGACCGAAGCAAGCUUAAGAAUAAGCCGAUGUUUCAGACCUAUCUCUUGAGGCAGUUCCUGACAGGGAAGUAGUUUCAGCUGAGGAAGUUGCUCUCGCUUUUCUUCUGCCCACGGAGCGGUUCUUGAAGAAAGAGAAGUAGCCUCAUCCGUUGAUCGCUAUCUUCUUUCAUGAUCUCUUGAGUAGUAACCUUGCUUAUUUCUCUCUUUGAACUCUAUCAUAUAUGUCCGAGGUAGCGGUCUAAGAAAGAUUCUCGGGUACGAGUAAGCGCUUUCAUUCAUAACAAGAAUGGGAAGAGACUCCCACCAGGUCUCAUGAACUGACGAAUGAGUACGAGAAGAAGACUUCGCAGAAUAAGAAGAAGCGAGACUAACCCUAUGAGAGAAGGGCUGGGGGAAGAGGAAUGAAAUAACUCGACCAAAGCAGAAUCCGUACCUGAAGAAGGCAGAUCCAUUGAGGCGGCAUAAAAGUACGGAGCUGAGGUGCAAAGAAUAUUGCGGAAAUGGAUUCCCCCUUAUAAUUUAUAGGACUUCGGACUCAUCUGGAGCUUGAUUUUCUGAUCUUUCACUUUCAUUCAAGGGUGAUAAAAGAAGGUUUCCAUUUGCUUAAGAUACGCGGAUUGGACAAGGGAUCUUUCAUCCUCAACAAGGGCUACUGCCGCCACUAGGCCGGAUAGGAAAGAUCGGCUUAUUCUUAAAACCGCCUCAAUGAACAAGGGGACCGGACUAACUCAAUAACGGAAACAUAGAAUGAGGACUUUAUCAAGCUUAACUUCUUCUCAUACGAACUGGAACUCGAGCGGCUUCUCUUUCGCUCCUACUAAGAUAGCUGCCCUCCUUCGCCCCCAACCUGAAAUCCGGUCUAGCGGACUCUCUCUCUUACCUUUCAGUUUAGGGUCUCCUCAUACUUUCUUCUUCUUUUCUAACUGCACUGAAAAAUUCUCAAUUCCUUCUUCGGUCUCGAAGCUUAAAGUCAAGCAUAGAACUCGGCCGGGUUCCAAUUCUUGUUCGCCGACCUGGAUCCUCUUUCUUCCUCAGCUGCAACGGAUGCCUAUUCGUCUGGAUGCCCAUUCCUCAGAAAGGGAUGAGGCUUCUAACAGGGUUCUAGCAUAAAGAAUCAGCAUAGAAAAGAGAGUUUAUGGCCUCCUUGAUUUGCACUUUUGAGUCAUUAUAAAUAAAUAGAAUAUUGUCAUUAUGUUCCCUCGCAAAAUGAAGAAUUUUCCUUUAUUACUUUACUCAACGAGAACUCCAAAGUCUGAAAUAAGAGAGCUGGAGGCUCGGGAAAAUGUCCUAUUUUGCUAUUUUUGAAUCCGAAAGAAUGAAGGUGAAAUCAGUGGAUUUAGACUUGAAAUAAAUAGACUUGAAAAGAUAAGAGGGGGACGAUUUUAGUCCAUUUAUCAGGCUCGAUUCAGCUCCUCCCUCUCUUUUCCAAAAGGAAUGCGAUCUGAACCCGUCCGGAGGCGUCACAGGUCCGAAGGACUAUCCAUAUUAACCUGCGACUGAGGACGGUCCGAAGGCGAGAAAACAGGGAUAUUGUUGAGCCUGAGUCUGCAAUAAGAAGCGUGGGUUUCCAGAAAGUUUUCUCGGAACAAAAGGCAAGAUCUUCUUUGAGCUUAAGACAUGCAAUUCGUAGAAAGACUAGAAACCCAUAAACUUUCUGAAAGGUGAGAGCCAAAGAGGAGCGUAUAGGUAGCCAGCCACUUAUCCUACUUCAGGCGGAUGAAGAUCAACGGAUUCCACUGACCCUAUUCAUUCCUUCAUGAAAACUCAGAACUUGAAGACUCAGAAGAAUUUGAUAAAGGAGAGAGGGCGCGAAGGAUUUCAGUUCCGGUAGCGGCCCUCGCUUUAGUUCUUUCCGCAGUUCUUGAAGUUGAAGAUCCCAUCAUCAUAUUGGGAUAGAAUCUAGUAUUCUCUUUUUCAUUCUUUUUGUUUUGUAGUGGCUCGACUUUAUAUUAAGUUAGUAGCACGUUCUUUGAUCAAAGCGGACGAAAAAUAGAGCAUAGCGGACUAAAAAAGGCGAAGGUGUCAACGGCUGGCAGAGUAUCUUCGGAUAACUUGCUGAAAGAAGGCAAACUCCAACUAUCUUCGGGACUUUCCAUGAACUCUAUGGGGUAUAGAAGGUAUAAUAUCGACAUAACUCGAAGUAUCGGAAUUGAGAAUUCUCAAUGAAUCUCUUUGAAUAAGGUUUUCCCUAUUGCUGGAUGGAAAUUGAUCAAUUCUCUCUUUCAUGACUUUUUUUUUGAUAUAGGCUGGAUGCAAACUCUCUUCAUCUUACGUUGCGGACGAGAAUAGGUUGAAUAGUCCGAAAAUCAAGAACUUUGCGACGGAAAGGAAAUAGUGGAUGGACGAGUCCUCCGGACCGGACGACUAUGAAGAAUAUUUGAAAAAGAAAGAAUUCUCGAAAGGUGGAAUAAAGCCUAGGCGCGAAGCGACAACCUACGGCAGAUAUAUCAGAAAAGAGCUGAAACCGAUUCGCCGACAAAGAAGAAGAAGGAAAGGGUGCCCUCCUAAAAGAAGACAUAAAGGACCCCCUCCGUCUCGUCUGAUACCCUGCUAAAAAUCGUCUUCAUUCUCAUCUCACUUCUCUAGUUCAAGUACUUGUACUUUUGUUAUUUUGCUGAUGUUAUUGUCUGAAAUCUAAGAUAGAUAGAAGAUCUCUACAAGUAAGAUAGAGCUAAUCAAGAUGCAGAGUCUUACUCAGCAAUAGCCGUGCUCUUCCGCUAGCCCAAUCACAAUCUCGACUUCUAUCGAGAGUAGUUCAUUGCCUGUACGCUCUUGCUCAUCUUGGAUGAGUCUCUCAUAUCGUUCUGUCCACUGGUUUUCUUCCCUUCGUCAAAGUCCCUAAUGAAGGGGCAUCUUGCCCACUCCCUUUCUCUUCAAGAAGAGGGGCCAAGAUGCAUAGUCGUCUUUCUCGGGGGCCUCCUCUCUUUUUAUAAGGAGAAAAGUCUCCUUUCUCUGUCUGCUACCCUUUUUGGGCUUUUGUUCCCCCUCGGGGGCCUUCCUCUUUUGUAGGGGUACUACGGGAAACUGAAUUCCAUGAAUUUCCAUUUCCCGCAGUUGAGAAAUCUUAACGUCCAGAUAGGGGUUUUUCUUCCCCUGCCGCUUCCUUAUUGGGAACAUAAGGAUUCGGCCCCUCCUCUCCUUCUCCGGACUGAUUAAUGGAACUGAUUCUUGUAGGCUACUACGGAUUGAAGUUAGACAGCAAGGGCCUUACUUACUGAGACGGAUUCCCAUUCAAUUACCUUGAUUCCGACUUCCGAGACUGAGAAUGCUACCUCUUGAUCCUUUAUCGUCUUUGACUUUCCGACCCGCGCAAACGUCAAUAUUCUUUGAACCUCUUGAAAGGGAAAGAUCCUGCUCAAGUAAUAAGAAGAGAAGCACAAUAUGAAAGGGGUUUCUCAAGUAAUCUUGGCUCUUAUUCUCUUCCCUCCAAUCGACUCCGCGAAUCAGAGGAUAAGUUCAUAAGCAUAAAUUCAAUGGUUCUAAUGGGCGCCUGAGGCGCAUCAAAAAAAAGGUUGAAGAUGACCUUGAUUUUUGAAUAAUUGAACCGAAGUCCUGAGAUAAUUCUUUGAGCUCCAGAUGAGUUGACAGUCCUAACUGAAUAAAAGGAUAUCUUUCCUUAUUAAUAUUGAGAUUUCCUUAACUUAUAUCCUUUCUUCUUCCUUUUUCUACUAUUAGAAAGAUAGGGGAAUCUUUCCCCGCGUAGUGGGCAUUGACUUCUAAUGAAAAGAAAAUCGGCUUGUCAAUUCAUUCUUGGUGUAAUACUCACUCUGUGUCAGAAUUUAGCACUUCUUAGAAGAAUGAAAUUCCAUAAAUCAGUCCAUCUAAAGAAAGCCCUAUACAUGAAUUUCAGGCGGAAGGUGCAAAGAAUAUUGCGGAGAGGAGGCUCGACUGUAAGGAGAGGGGCUCAUCCCGUGUAAGAAUUAGGAAUUCCUCUUCCAACUCGUCCCGGAAUGGGCGUUAUGGCAAAGAAGAAGAAGAAAAGAAAAGGAGAAAUUUGUCCCAUAGUCACAAAUGGUGCCUCCACAGGUUGACAUCCGAUCCAACCUAGUAGUAAGCAAUCCGCCAAAAGCAACCAAAAUAGUCCUUGGUGAAUAGGGCGAAAACUUGAACUACGCACAUACAUACUUUUAGAAAAAGGUAAAGCCAAGAGACAUAUAAAAACUGGUGCUAUUGCGGCUACACCUCCCGCUUUGUCAGGUAUACUACGAAGAAUGGCAUGGAUCGGUAGGAAAUACCAUUCCGGCACAAUAUGAGGCGGGGUGGGCAUCGGAUUAGCAGGUAUAUAAUUGUCGGGAUGCCCCAAAACAUUAGGAGCAUAAAAAAUCCACACUGAAAAAAAGAUAGCAAAAGCUACCCAACCCACUAGAUCCUUGACAUAAAAAUAAGGGUAAAAAGCGAUUUUAUCCAUCUCUGAAUGUACACCCAAUGGAUUAUUUGAUCCAUAUUGAUGCAAUGCGGCCAGAUGAAGAAGACUGGCGCCUGCUAAAAGAAAAGGGAGUAAAUGAUGCAGACUAAAAAAACGAUUUAAGGUGGCAUUGUCCACGGAGAAACCACCCCAAAGCCAAGUCACUAUGGUAUCUCCUACUACGGGUAUGGCGCUAGCUAAGCUUGUAAUUACAGUUGCUCCCCAAAAGCUCAUCUGACCCCAAGGUAGUACGUAUCCUGUAAAAGCUGUCACAAUCAUUAAUAGGAAGAUGAUAACUCCGAGACACCGAACAAAUUCCCUAGGACUGCUAUAACUCGCAUGAUAUAGACCACGAAAAAUAUGAAGGUGAACCACAAUGAGAAACAUACUUGCCCCAUUAGCAUGCAUAUAACGGAGCAACCAGCCCCCUGAAACAUCUCUCAUAAUGUGUUCUACGCUGUUGAAAGCUAGAUCCACAUGAGGUGUGUAAUGCAUAGCUAAAAAAAGGCCAGUCACUAUCUGAAUGACUAAACAAAGACCUGCUAACGGACCGAACCCCCACCAAUAACUAAGAUUGCUCGGGGUUGGAUAAUCUAUCAAAUGCUGAUUCAGUGUGGAGGAUAUAGGUUGUUUAAGAAGAGAGAAUCGUUGCUUUCUUUUAGUCAUUUCUCUUGACUAUCGUGAGAACUCUUGUUCCCCCACCUUUUUAGCCUUCUGGGGGCCUUGCCCUGCUUUAGAAAGGAGAGAAUUGAAGAAAUCUCUCCAACCUUUUCUAUCGAGACUUAGAAGUAGGGCGAGACAAAGUCAAUAUGAUAUUUGCGUUGGUUUUUCCAACUCAAGGAAAGACUUUUUUCUCUUUAUCAUUCUACAGGCUCAGUCCCCACACUCUGACUGAAGGGAAGAACCUCCGCACUCCAAUGAACAAGAGUUCUCCGCCUUACUUUACUAUAUUUAGAAUAGUGGGAUAUCCCUCUCUCGUUUUUUAUCUAAUAUCCAUUUAUCUAGUUUAGCGGAAGGCAGGGCAGAGCCUUUCUCAGUUGAUCUCAGUCUCAUUCGGAAGAGGUACCAGCCCGAAGGCAUGUCUGGUCAUACGUGGGAGUUCGCGGGCUAGGCCCAGGACAGGUUAGGCGUCAAUAUAUAUCUCAACUGUCAAGGUUAUGGACUCUAUACAGUAAGAAGAGCAAGAAUCAGACUAUCUCUUAGAGUAGCUCGAUCGGGAGCCAGAUAGGGAGCCCCAGGCGAAGGACCAAUUCAGAGCAACUGAAAUAGGAGACUAGCCCUCCCUAGCUAUCACAAUGAUAAGUGAAAGAGUCCCACUCCGCGGUAGCAUCCUUCCUAAGUAGGAGCGAAGAAAGCAGCGCUUCUUUUUCCGGUUGCCCACUACGCGGUUGAUAGGUCAAAUAAGUCAAUAGAGGUCAUCCCUUGAAUGAGAUCUUGCCGAUGCAAGAGUUAGAGGAAUCUCUAUCCCACUCGGAAGAGGUAUGAAAUAUGCUCUAUAGAUAGGGAAGGGAGUGGAACAAAGAAAGUAGCUCGACUACUGAAGGUUAUGAAUUGAAUCAGUCGAGAAAGAGCUAAUUGAUCUAUAUCUUUCCUUAUCAAUGAUCUUUGCUCCUCCUUCUACGCUUUCAGUUCCACGCAAUAUUCUUUGCACCUGCUAACCGUCCUCCGGACUAUCCCUAUGAACCUAGCCUUCGGACCAGCUGACUUCUUUAGUGACAUGAAUUAUGUGAUUUUAGCUAUUUCUUCAACUUAUCUUUUAUAACGAUCAAAGAUGUGAACAUGCAUUUUCAUUCUUUCUUGCUGCCAGCCCUGACUAAACUCAUCCCUUUUCGGGGGGGGCAAGGAAUCAGACUCAAAAGGAGGUUCCAUAAGACAGGGAUAUUGUAGGAUAGGCUUUCUUCCUUUUAGUCCUUUUAGUAGGUUUAGACGAAGGAUAGGCUUUCUCAACUCAUCUGGAGCUCGCAAUAUUCUUUGCGCCUCUCCCUCGUAACAACUAAUAAGAGGAUAUUAAGAACUCAAGAACAAGAGAAAGCUUGAUAAAUCAGUCCUUCGCCUACUACAAUCAGUUCCAUUAACAAGUCCUCUCAUAUUUCAUUGAUCCUAAUUAAGCAGCUGCAUGAAAGGCGCAUAUUGCGCUGCACUAAAUCAAGAAUGUCCAUCUGAGUCAGAAACCGAAUUUUUGCUUUGUCGAAAAUGAAUUCAGCCUAAGGUCUGCUUUGAAAAGGAAAAAAAGAGUAUUCAUCCUUUCUCAUAUUGAGCCUGAAUUUCCCCGUCCGAAGGCGCAAAGAAUAUUGCGAGACCGCGUAGAAGGAGUCUUAUGAAACCUGGACCCUUCUUUUUAAAGAAGAAGAAGUCCUACGUCCUACGUCCGCAGUCCUACGUCCGCAGGAUUUAUCCGGAGUCCGGAGUCCGCAGUCCGCAGGGCCAAAGAAAGGUCCAGGUGAUUUAUCCGUAGGACCAUCCGUAAUUAACCGAAGUAGGACUAUCCAUAUUCAGGAGCGGAAUCAAGAAUAGACCCGUCAGUAUCCGGACCAGAAACCAUAAGAAAACUCUGUUCAUUGAUUUUCCCUAGAUUUUUCUAAUGGACCAGUUGCAAUUUCCCGGCUUUUUUGCUUCUAAAUAGGACUUUUUCGACUUUUCUUAUCUAACGAUAAAAGUACUUUUUUGACUGAUUUUUUGUCUUUUCUUGCUACUUUAUAGGCCCAAAACCUAGCAUUUUCUUGUAUUUCCCUCCGUCUUCAAUCUAGCAGAUUAAUCUGAAAUCUCCCUCUUUCUUUUUCAUUCCCAUUUUUUUCUUCUUUCAUUCUCGUUAAUGAAGAAUCCACAAAUGUCUAAUCUUUCUCAUCCCCUAAUGGAUAGUCCUUCGGACCUGUCUGUCCUUCGGUCUUAAGACUCCUUCAAAUUUCAGGCAAAGAAUAUUGCGUUGCGUGAGAACCUCAAAUUUGUCUUUAUUCACACUGAUCCGGAUUCUGGGGCCCUAACCUAUGCCCCUACUGUGAUGGGAUGAGUUUGCUCUUGGUCACCUCGUAGAUUAGCCGCGCAUUAAUUCAGAUUCGGAAGAAGGGCGACCGCCAUGAAGCAGGCUUGACUCUCAUCUCAAGGCGAGGCGCCAUAAGACAGGUCCGAAGGACUAUCCAUUAGGGAAUGAGGUUAGGAAGGUUUUAUAUGAUUGUUAAGACUAUAUCAAAGAUUACUAUUUAUGGAUGUUCAUUGAGGCGGUGCAAAUGAGAUUCUUUACCUGGGGUAAGAUAAAAGAUCCGAAAGGAAAGUCUCAGUUCGAGCCUCAAGAAGAAUCAAGGUAAGACGGAGGCGGGAUAGCGAAAGGACUGGAAAGGAUUGCAAUCAAUGAAUAAGGGGCCGAGUGCCAUGAAUCAGAUGAUGUAUGAUCAGUUGAAUAAUCUCCAGUGGCUUUGCUGCAGAAGUAGCCUCUGAGCCCACGGAGCGGUAAUUCUCAAAUAGUAUCCCUGCCCAAGUUAGCGAGACUGGGAGUCAGUAUCUAUCUUUAUUUCUUAGCAUGCGGACUAUGAGAAAGAAGUAGUCUCACGGAGUACAGGAAGAGGAUCAUCGUCGACCUGAACCGCUACGUGGGGAAAGCGAAAGGGUUCUGCUCAUUUGAGCAGAGGCUGGUACAUUCCCUUGAUCUGGUGGCCCUAUUAACCGGCUUGGGUAAAUCCCCCCUAUCUUUUAUGGCGGUUUUGGCUGGAAGAAUGAGAUCUUUCCUUCGUCGUGAGACAGCAUUCGUCUUGGCCUCUUUCUCGAGGAGAGGAGAUGUCCUGGUCGCCUUGUUCAUUCAGGCUAGGCUUUCUCUUUCUCCGUCUUUUACGAAAGGCCUGACUCUUGAUCUCGCUCCCGGAUGUUCCCUUGUUCAUUGAGGCGGUACGGAGUGCAAUGAACCCACUCCGCGGUUUCGCCAUAAAUAGGGGUUCAGGGUCAUACACCAAUCCGCCUGUGUUAAGUUAAGCAAAGCCUCUCCUUUUGCGACGUUCAUCCCUUUUCCUGCACUCCUUCAAGGGUUAAUAUGGAUAGUCCUUCGGACCUGUUCAUUGACUUCUAGUUUCAGUUCCAUAAACUAGUCCCGUAACAAGGCUCCAUAAAGACAGGGAUAUUGUAAGGCGCAAUUCAAUAUGCGUUGAGCCUCGGUCAAAGAAUUUGAGAAGCUGCGUAGGAUCAAAGAAUUUGAGAAAGUGCCUUUCUUUUUUUUUCAAAAAAAACGCGCAAAGAAUAUUGCGUUGAUGAAUAGGUGAAUAUUGCUCUUUUCGUUUUCUAGCUUAAUCUGUGGAAGAAAAAUCUCUUUUUUAUCUAAUCUAGUAGAAGCAAAAAUAUCCAUCACUAAGCUAAUAUGGAUAUAAAGAACUCCUUCGGAGGGAGGCUCAAAGAAUUUGAGGCGCAUUUAUCUAAGAAGAGAAAACGAGUCAAGAGGACGGAGUGCAAGUCAUUCAUUCUAUUAAAUAGGAUGAAUAGUCCAAAAAUCAAGGUCCAGAUGACAGGCUCAAUGAAAUUUGAGUUUCUGACUCCUUCUCAAAUUCUUUGAUCCUCAGUCCUAUCCAUAUUAACCCGGGAUUUCUCAAUCUUCUUUGAGCCCUCCGUUAGGCGCAAAGAAUAUUGCGAGACCGCGUAGAAGGAGUCUUAUGAAACCUGGACCCUUCUUUCCAUAUGGAUAGUCCUACGGAUAAGAAUCCUCCGGACGUAGGACCCUGGACCUUUCUUUGGCACGUAGGACUGGAUCUUGUUGGAUUUCAGACUCGUCCGGAGCGCUCCAGGACCAAAAUGACCCUUUGAUUUUAGGAGUUUUCUACCUCGCAUAUUUCAUUGCGCCUUACUCCCUGUCUUAUGGAUCGUCUGGACUUCGAUCAUUCUUUGAGCUAUUAAGCCUACGGGUCGUCUUGACCCUUAUUUCCAUAUUAACCUGUCCUUGCGGACGCGGAGGACGAGUCUCAAAUUAAAGCUCAAGACGAGCCGUAGUUAGGUGAAAUUCAAUGGAAGAAGAUUCAAUAUUCCCUAAUGGAUAGUCCUUCGGACCUGUCUCGCAAUAUCCUUUGCGCCUCAAAUCAGAAAAUUUCAUUGAUCCUGGACCUUUGUUUUCCAUAUUAAAUUAAGCUCCUUCUGACUGAUUAAUGGAACUAAAUGACGAUAGAGGAUGAAUGAAUAUGAGUUCCUUCGAAAGAGAAGCUCGACAAGGGCAUGUCCGACCUAUCCACUGAAAGUAGCGGAGUCCAAGAAAGAAAAGAAAAGUCCAAGGCGCAAUUCAAUAUGCGUUGACAGUCCGACUAUAAAGAACUUUUUAAGCUACGGAGGCCCAAAGAAUAUUGCGUAGAAAAAGGCAAUGUUUUCGCAGAUUCAAAGGAGAGGCUUUGCGAGACCCUUCCCUCUUAGUUUGGAGAAUUCUUUCUCAUUCUUUUUGUUGUUUAAUGAGAGUACUCAAAGACCCUUCCCUCUUAGUUUGGAGCUUCUGUCUUUCUCUUUCCCGCUCCGUCUGCUCUUCCCGUCCUACGGCAUCAAAAAAGAAUAUGAUCCCUCCGUGCAAAUUCUUUGCUCAUCGACCGCCUACAAGAUCCAGUCCUCCGGACUAUCCAUUAUCAGGGCUUACUUCAUUGAUCCUCCGGCUUUCAAAGUGGACUCUACCCCAGUUCAAAGAAGAUUGAAUUCAUCAUAUUUUCUUCAAAAACAAAGGUCCAGGUGACGUCCGAAGGACUUGUUUAUAUCCAUAUUAGCUUGGAGCCUCCGGACCGUCGUGCAAAGAAUAUUGCGUUUUGGAUAGCUCUGACUUUGAAGGUUUUUGAUUUCGGCUUUCAUGAGGGCUUAUAGUUUAAUUGGUUGAAACGUACCGCUCAUAACGGUGAUAUUGUAGGUUCGAGCCCUACUAAGCCUACCACCCCUUCUCUGAACCUGAUACAAGGCAGUCGAAGUCCCCGCCACCCUGCAGAUCUCAAUCUAGCGACGUGGAACCACACAGCUGCCGCUGCCCUUUGGGCACGCCUCCUACGCUUACCACUCACCUACGCUCUUGCAGCAUGCCCCGGCAAUACUAUCAUAAUAAUACGCGAAGCAGCUGAGCGGCUCGACCAAAGAGGAAUUUGCGAUAGGGAAGGCGUGGUUGAGACUGAGAGAGAAAGUCGAUGCGAAGGUUCAGAUCUUCUCUCUUCGCGAGACGGCCCAUGAAUCUCGAGAUAAGAGCGUGGGGCUUGAAGACCCUACCGCAUUCCGGCCCCGGGGCCUUCAAUUGUCUUUUCUCCUCUUUCUGGUGAGUUUCCUUUUUCUUUAGGUACCUCUUGGAUUCUGAGUUUGUUCCAACAGCUGCCACACGUGAGAUCCUGAUCGUCUUCCUCCCAGUCUUCUUGCCCGCUGGGGGAAGGAAAGUUCGGUGGCUUUUCCUUCCAGGACCGGAGAAGGUCAAACUCUGGGCGGGCUGCCGGGUUUCGCCUACGCUACGGUUUCAGAAGAUUGAACCUUUUUUCUUCAACCGAAGUCAAGGAGUUCCAGAGCAGGAGGUUAUUCAAUAUCGGGACCGCCUCGUCUAUGUACUCUAAGCCUCUCUUGAAGAUGCGCGCGCGAUAUGAGAAAAAAGAGUGGGAGGAAGCAAGCAAUGAAAAGCCAGGGUAGAGCCUCGGAGCCGGCCCAAGCGAAGAUCGGCACUCGAUGAGGACCGCAAAAGGGAAAGCCGUGGAGACGGCAGACUCGGCAGUCAGGCACACCGUGAGGCUCCAUAAAGACAGGGAGGUUACAAUUCAAGUUUUCCUCUUUCAAUUUCCGGGAGUGAAUGUAGGAAGUUCAGACGGUGGAUCAGGUGUGAAGAUGAAAGCAAAGACGUCUUGGGGAUCGGCAAUAGCGUAGCAUUGUGGCCAUCACAGUUCAAGCUACGUAUGGCUGGCGCACAACCUACUUCUUAGCCAAAAAAAAAGUGAAGAAUAAGAAGAGGCGUCAAAGUAUAUUCUCUACUUUACUAUUAAAGAAGAAGGAAGAAAAAAAGAAUGGAGUUUCCUAGAAAUUCACUUUGCCAUAUUAAGCUACGGAGGCCCAAAGAAUAUUGCGAAGGCUCAAGAUGCGCCAUAAGACAGGUCCGAAGGACUAUCCAUUAGGGAAUGGAAUGUGAGAAGAUUGAGGCGCAAAGAUCGUGGCCCACGUAGGGGGAUAUUGAUUUGCGUUUUCCGCUGCUAUAUUGCAGCUGCUUAAAAAAGCGCAAAGCAUAUUGCGUGAGAAGACAGAGAUAUUGUUGAGAGGAGUCCCACUAUUUCAGAAUAAGGUGAAAAGAAUAUUAAUAUGGAUCAAAAUCAGUCCCACUAUUUCAUUAUAAGGGGGAAUCAAUAUAUAAAGAAUAGUCGCAAUAUUCUUUGCUCCUCCUACGCGGACGGGGGGGUUCAAAGAAUAUUGACGAGAGGGCUCCGCUCUGCUUCUUUGCGGGGUAGUUUUCAAGAAAGGAAGAAGAGUUUGAGUCAUCCGUAUGUCAAUGGAAGGCGCAAAGAAUAUUGCGAGACUGCUCCGCUCCGUCUUCCGCGUAGUGGGGUCCGGACGGAAGAAAAAGAUCAGAAUAUCUACACUACCGCAAGAAUGAAAUUCCAUGAGAAGACGGAGUGGCCCUAAACGGGGUUCGGAAGCUACUGUUGUUGGAGUUCCAGAGACUACUUGACCGAUAAAGGGAAGAUCUUCAGCUGCGAGACGCCCACUCCUAGGUUAGGCACCAGGGAUCUCUUUUUUCUGUUGAAACUACUUAUUUUUCUGUUGAAACUACUUUCUUUCGGAAUCUCCAGCUGGGUAUUAGUCUCGACUUCGGAAGCAAGGCCCAGCCGUUCAUGAAAGGCCAGCCAUGAUUCCUCCUUGAUACCCACGUAGCGGUAUACCACCGGGAGCUAAGGAGGUCACAUAAGAAGUGGAAUUCUGCCAUUCAAGGAAGAAGAUGGGAGUCGAGUCUAGAUCUGUUGGAGUCUCGCUGUGCUCGCCCAUAGCUCUUUGUCUUGCUGCUUACGGGCGUCUUUCUUAUGAAUCCACCUUGCCCCCAGAGGUCUACUCUCUUUCAAAGGAUUGAAUCGAGUCUGACGAAAGACGAAAAUCACUAUGCAGCCAUGUUCAUCUCUACAUAGUGGCUUUGUCGAGAAACUUAGUCCGUCUUUUCAAUGAGUUAGUUUGGGAAUCAAAGAUCAUUAACUCGAUUCUUUCUAUAAGCUUUGCUACUUCAACAAGAACGGACUCCCUAUCUUAUGGUAUUGCUCAUUCCCUUAUUGGGAUCGCGUAAUCAUCCCCUUCCACUCGGGAAGCAUAUGAAAUGCGGUCUCAUAUUCAGUGACCCCUCCUUGUACGCUCCUGGUCUCGUGUAGAUCAGAUCCUGCGAGAUCCUUCUUUGCUUCCCCUUUCCGCUCACGCAAUAUUCUUUGCGCCUUCUUUUGCUUCUUCAAUCAAUUUACCCGGAAGGUAGAUGGGCAAGAGACUACCCUCAAGCGCUUUCAGUCUCCCUAUCGAUCGGCGGAGGUCGAAUCAGGAGCUGUAUCAUAGGCAGUUGAAUGAUCCACGAGGCGGCUAGACUUGGGCCGGACGCUCUUGCUGCGUCAGUGGGUUGGGGAAUAAAAAGAACUAAACUAGCAUUAUAGAUCCGCUCUUUCCAUGCCUUAACCUUGAAACUAACUGGUAAUCUUCUCGAUAAUACUCUUUGUGAUCGAUCGAUCAUUCCCCGGAUCUCUUUUUCUUGCUUUUGUUGUAGAUUCGCUGUGGAAGGAGCCCUUCUUCUUGGAGUUUCAGAAGUGGUUGUGGUCGGUAAGCUCCUCAAUGAAAGGCCUCAGGAAAAACGGAAAAGGCCUAGAGAUUCAAGUCAGCAAGCAAAUGAAGAAAGAAGGCAAUUUGCCUUACGGGAACGAAAGAAAGAGUUUAUCCUUUUCGGAAAGUCUGGACAGGGGAAGCCCACCAGACCCCUAUACAACUAUCCCCUUCCUUAUCUGUGCGGAAAGGUUUUGAUCCUUUUUUCAGCGGUGAAGAAGAGAAGCCUGCGGAGAGUUACAUUAAGUAGCGCGGUUGCUGAAGAGCCUGCUGUCGUAGAAGAAGCGACUUCCCGCUAGUUCUUGUCCUCCCCUUUUCUUCUACAUUGAUUUGCCCAACAAGUAAGCACGUAUGAAGUUGCUCGUUCAAAUGCAGUUGCGAGAGGAAGGCAAUCGGCGGGGAUGCUAAGUUCUGUUAAUAAAUACAAUGUUGAGAAGCGAAAGCUUCCACAUCAACUUCUGGAAUGCCCCUCGUGGAUCAGCCACUCUCCUUCCUUUGCUUUGAGUCGAGCUAUUUCUUCCUUUCCGACUUAGUUUACGAAAGAGAGGAGGGCUAACUGAAUAAGAAAGAUCCGAGUUGGGACGGCUUUCCCGAGUUUUCUAGUUUUCUUAUGAGUUAUGAGGUUGAAUGAGUCACUGAAAGAUCAGUCAUCAGACUUAGUAGGAGCCGCUUUUACCCUAGGCUUUCUUUACCUAUACCUGGAUUGGAUAGGUAUGAGCUAACCCCUUUCCUUCUUCCAUUUCUUCAGAGGUCAAUCCUCUAUAUAUUCUUUGCUCCUCACCCCCGUAGUUAGGUGCAAAGAAUAUUGCGAGACCUCAGUCGCAGUCCGGAGGACCUGUGACGCCUUCGGACCUGUCUGGCCUUCGUAGCUUAAUAAUGGGGAUCUGCUUCAAUUCCCACGGAGCGGGAGGUUCAAAGAAUAUUUCAGGUCAUCUGGACCUUUGUUUUUGGACUUGUUUAUAUCCAUAUUAUCCGUGGGUUUGGAGAAAAGUACGAUUUGUCUUCUCCAUAUGCGUCGGCACCGCGUAGUGGGACAAGACUACAUUGAAUUAUGGGAAGAUUUGCGGUUCUACUAAUUCCCCAUUUGAGUUCUUUUAUUGCAUCCUAUCCCGGACUCAAGGGAAGAAAGGUAAGUAAGCCCCCUGACCCAGUUCUUCUUGUUGAGGAUGGCAAAUCCCUUGUUCUGAUAGCCCUCGCUUUAGCUCUUCUUUCAACCCUUCUUUCUGUAGCAGCACUGUUGUGGAAGGUUUCUAGUAGAUCGAUCGUAUCGCCUCGUAAGGCCAAGGCCAAUAGAAGGGCUUUCAAUUUCUUGACUUUUAGAUGUCCCAACGAGUGGGUUAGUCUCACAUACUUAUCUUCUCAUAUAUCCACGGGAAAACUUGAAAGAACCCUGUGCCUGUAUUUGGGAGGUAAAUCAAAGAGGAAGAAGGAUCGUAUUUGGGAGGGCCGAGCGCCCAUUAGUUUAGUUAGGAUGCGGCUUUCCCAACAGCAGAGAGUUCUCCGCUCCGUGGGCUUCAUCCGUUGUCAGGAAAGUAGCUCGCUCUUCCGUCCCAGUUUCAGAGGUUAGACCUCAUCAUCCGUUGCAUAAGAAAGAUGAGAUCUUGAAUAAUGAGUUUCCGCAAUAUUCUUUGCGCCUUAUCAAUGAGACGUCCGGAGGCGCAAUUCAAUAUGCGAGGUGCAGAUCGGAAGAAGUUGAGACUGUCUGUAUCGGGUGAAAGGGAAAAGACCAGAGGUCCCGGGGAAAAGCGAAGCCUAUGAAGUGAGUAUGAUCAGUUUCCGUUGAGGCGCAGAGUACGAAUUCUCUCUUUCAUGAGUAGUUCACUGCACUCAUUAGUAGUAGCUGGACCAUAGCAAGAGGUUAUUCUCUCUAUGAUCUCCUGGACUGGAAUAGGCUCUCCCCAUAGGAAUGCAGUUGCUCGACAAGAGGAGAAAGGGCGAGACCAGGUCAACAAGGAUUUAGUGGAAUAGAAUAAAUCGAAAGCAGGCGCAAAGUCGCAUAUUGAAUUGCGCCGGAGUCCGGAGGACCAUCAAAGAAAGGUCCAGGGUCCUACGUGCCAAAGAAAGGUCCAGGGUCCUACGUCCGGAGUCCGCAGGGCCAAAGAAAGGUCCAGGUGAUUUAUCCGUAGGACCAUCCAUAUGGAGGGAAGUAGUCCGGAGGAUUUAUCCGUAGGACCAUCCGUAAUUAACCGAAGUAGGACUAUCCAUUAGAAGCAGGAUUUAUCCGUAGUCCUACGUCCUACGUCCGGAGUCCGCAGGGCCAAAGAAAGGUCCAGGGUCCUACGUCCGGAGGAUUCUUAUCCGGAGUCCGGAGGAUUUAUCCGUAGGACCAUCCAUAUGGAGGGAAGUAGUCCGGAGGAUUUAUCCGUAGGACCAUCCGUAAUUAACCGAAGUAGGACCAUCCGUAAUUAACCGAACUGAUCGCCAUUCUCUUCUUUGUUCUUUGAGCCUUGAACUUGAAUCUCCUAGGCUUUCAGAACUAGGCUUUCUUUCGGUGGAGAAAGAGAGUAAAUAAUAUUUGACCAGUCAUUCUCAAUAUUCUUUGAGCCUAAGAUCCUAGUUUCGUUUUCUUUGAAUUGAAUAUAGGUUUGAAUCAACUCUUAAGGCUCCAUAAGACAGGGAUAUUGUGAGAAGGAGCGGGAAGCUUGAGAAUUCUUUAGCAGUCUAGAGGCAUACUCCCUUUUCCUGAUGAUCCUUGGGUCAGGUUGGAUUUCUCGGUCAAGGGGCCUAUGCCCUCCAGCAUAGAAAAAAACCUUCAUAGGACAGAGAAAACUCUCGUACUUCUCCAAACAUGAUCCAAAGUUCCUUCGAUCUCAAGUCCCUCUCUCGUGAUAGGUAGAGAAUCCGACCUUUCCUUGACCGACCCCCAAUUGCUAAGUGAUAGAUUUACGCUAGGCACUGAAGUUCAGAGUGUAGAGUCUACUUUUUAGCGAUGUAAAUGAGUGAUAAAGUAGAUUACAUUGAAAUACGCAAAUUCAAACUAGAUUCUUUUGACAGCUGUAAGCUGACCCAUGAGAAAGCUCUGACUGAAAGCGAACAGCCUUUAGGAAUUCCCUAUUUAUGCUAUGAAAAAGCUAGACUGCGUGCGCUCCUGCUUUAAGAAAAAGAGCCAUUGAGAAAGCAGUGGUAGUACAGAUGCCGAAGACAGCCAAUAGAAGAAUGGUAGCUACUCUUGCUUCUCGUCCGAACAAAGGGAUGAGGAGGCUCAACCGUGGGCUUAAUGAAAUCGAAAAUAUCUUCCUUUCCUAUCUAGCCAUGAGGAUGGGAUUAUACCUUAUGUGAAGGCACAGAUCCUUAGCUAUGACUAACCUACUUGGUAAAUAGCGAAUAGUGCUUCGAUCGCAGAUGUGCUAGAAUCCCUACAUAGAGCUCUCGUGCUCCACUAAACUAAGAAAAAUAGGAUGAAAGAAAGAAGCAACCCAGCGAGUUUACAUUCUCCACUAGCGUCAGCGCCAAUCCCCUUCCUGCUAGCCCAUAAUAGAGUCUGAUAGCUACUCAACUCAAUUUCAUCGAGACAAAGUCUGAACCUACUUAAUAUUAAGCUUGAUAAAGUCCUCCUAUAUUUAGUGGAAAAAAUUCACCGAAAAUCUGCAUUCUAAUCUUUCUCGAAAUCUUCUUUGAGCUAUAUAAGCCAGUCGCUUCGCUUCGCGCCGGAGGACGGCUCAAGACGUGCCAUAAGACAGGUCCGAAGGACUAUCCAUCAGGGAGGAGAAGGACGAGUUUUCGUCCGGAGGACUGAUUUUGAUCCAUAUUAGAAGUCAAGAGGACCGUCGUCAGAACCCGUAUUUCCAUUAGGACGAGCGCGUAGAAGGAGUCUUAUUCAUUCCAUAUUCACGAGCGCGUAGAAGGUGCAAAGAAUAUUGCGUGGAAGUGAACUAUCAAAGAAUAUUGACGAAAAGAAAAGAGAGCUCAUUAACGAGAAUUAAAGAAGCUCAAAAUGAAUCUGCUAGAUUGAAGAGCUAGAUUUCAGAUUAAUCUGCUAGAUUGAAGACGGAGGGAAAUGCUAGGUUUUGGGCCUAUAAAGUAGCAAGAAAUCAUGAAAAUUCCUUCUUUUUUCGACAAUUAUCGUUAAAUAUCAAUCUUUGAUUUAGUCCUAUUUAGAAGCAAAAAAGCCGGGAAAACGCAAUGAAAGAAGAACUCCUAGGAAAGGUCAAAUCAAUGAACAGAGUUUGAUUAUGGUUUCUGGUCCGGAGAAAUACGGGUCUAUUCUGGAUUUCCCUCCAGGUUAUGGGUGAUUCAAUCAGAAUUCUUCUUUCAUUCGAGUUAAUGAGUUCAUUCUUCUUUUCUUGACUUUUCACAGGUGCCAUAAGGGAUAUUCUUGAGAAGCGAAGCGCAUUCAAAGGAGAGGUGCAUAUUGGGAAGGCUCUUUUCAGAUUGAGAAUAUUGCCGCAUCUUUGCGCCUGUCCUUCGGACCAAAAGGAAGCAUCGCAUCAGGCAACGGCUGACGGUCGUACAAUCGGUUUCCAGAGGUGGGGUUCCUUCCUUCACGCACGAGCUUAAGUUCCAAGAAUAUCCCUGUUUUCUCGCCUUCGGACCAGGAAAAGCAUGAAAUAAAGAGAUGAUUCCCACUAAUCCUAAUCAAUGGAUGUCGGAAAAGAGGUUUGGGUGAAUAUGGAAUCCUAUAAAAAUCAGUGAACAUUGGCCCACGUAGCGGUGCAAUUCAAUAUGCGAUGACAUUCUUUAUUCUUUAUUUAGGAGCGGUUCAAUGAACAUCGGUUUUUAGUUCCAACAAUAUCAAUCCAGUUCUUCCCGCGGAGUGGGCGCUUACUAUUUAGUUCCAUUAAUCAGUCCUUCGGCUUUCAAAGUCAGAGCUAUCCAAAAUCUCACGCAAUAUUCUUUGCACCUCCGGAGCGGAUGAAGAAGCGAAAAGUCUUUUUUCUAAUGGAUAAACAAGUCAGAAGGCUGAAUGAAUUGAGAAGAGGUGCCAUGCGCGGGUUAAUAUGGAUAGGACUGAGGUCUCGCAACUCAUAUUGCAUUGAGCCUAACGUCUGAAACUUUAGCGGAAAACGCAAGUCAAAUUCUCUAAUGGAUAGGCCUUGCACUCCUCAGAAGGAGAGGAUCAAUGUAAUAUGAGAGAAAGAUUAGACAGACGAAGGACUGAUUACGCAUAUUUCAUUGCACCUUCGGACGGUCCUCUUGACUAUUCAUCCUAUUUCUUUAGAAGGACCACAAACCAAACUAUAAGUGCGAACAUGGCAUUGAUUUGAGCAAUAUUCUUUGCGCCUAGGCUUGAUUCUUUCAUUGCCUUUUCUUUUAGAGUCCUUCGGACGUCCUCAGGACCAAAGCUUUUUUGACCGCUACGUGGGUUUAUCUGACUUUCUCUCAUCUUUUUAUUGAACGAGAAAAGAGUGAAAAAGAAGGCAUUUGACUUUCUUUCUUGCUUCUAUAUUCUUUUCAGCUCUCCUUAUCACUAGCAUUUUCAUGUAUUUCACUCCUAGCACAAAGAUGUCAAAAAUCUAGCAGAUUAAUCUGAAAUCUAGCAGAUUCAUUUUGAGCUUCUUUCAUUUUCAUUCUCGUUAAUGAAGAAUCCACAAAUGUCUAUUCUUUAUUGACUGAUUUUUUCAAGAAAGAAAGGGAUUACUACACCUUGGAGAAAACUUCCCCUGAGUUCAAUUCCGAGUGCAAGCGAAAACUAAUAGAUUUCAUAGUCCUUCGGACGGAUACCGGGCCUUAUCCACGAUCUGAAUUCAGCCUGAUUUUUGUCUUCUUAAUAUUCUUUGAUCCUAACCUUCUAAUGGAUAGUGGGCUCCGGACGGGAGGACUAUUUCUUUUUUUUCAAAAACAAAGGCGAGACUGAAAGGUGCGAAGGAGCUCGGUUCAAUUGGAGGAGAGGCGGCUCUGAUUUUGCUUUUUAUAGGCUGCUCAAAGAUGAAUACUAUUAUUUGGAGAUCUUGGAAUCCUUAUUUCAGGUUUCCGGAGCCUUUAUAUAAGGCAAAGGAUUCGCCGCCAAAGAAGAAGAAGAAAGAGAUAAGAAAAGAAGAAAGAAAGAACGGAUUCGCCGACAAAGCUACUUUUACGCCGAGAACAUCCAGACGAAUGCCACCACCAACCGAAGACGGUAUGAAACCCGGUCGGGUUUUCCUUCGAUGAUGAAAAUGGCGCCAGUGGGAACAUCCUUCUUCAUGCCUCUACCCGAUCUCUUCGAUUCGGGUCUUGGGGGACCGCUAACCCCCCGAAAGGAGUUCCGCUCCUCCGGGUUCUAGCCGAUUUGGUCACACAGGCAGUGCCUUCUUCUAUCUAACUGAACGGUAAACCGGGAGGGCUUUUCCCCGUACUAACCCCGUUUAGGGCCAAAAGGCUACUACCACCUUUAAGUAGGCCUGCCCCAGGCCCGAAGGUUGGAGUUUACCCUUUCCCUCUGUCAUAGCGCAAGAGUCGCGUCCGCCCUUUCCCUGACGCGCGGCAUGGUCCCUUACUUUUGUUGGGCCGUCGAGUCCCCUGUCUCCCCUGAAUCGCUUAUCUGUGCCAUGGAUUGGAAACUUAUCGGGGACCAUGAGCCCGGUGACUACAGUUCACCCGAGGCCGACCUCACACGUGAGUUCCCUAUCCUUUCAUUAAUGAGCGGUAUGCCGUCCGUCUUAACUUGCCUUAAACGAGAACCUCUUGGAGCUGUCGAGUCAGGAAGGAUUCGUUAAAUGCUUUUAACGGAGCUAGUUUUGCGCCUGAGAUAAUAAGGGAAGUCAGAUCUGAACUGCUUAUUUACGAUAUAAGGGAAAGAGAGAACCUUCGGCGCAAUAUGCGCCUUCGCUUCAAUGAUUUUGGAGGGGGUAGGCCUCACAGAUAGGGAUGAGGUUGCGGAAGCAUACCAGACCGACCACCAGCUUAGUUUACUCGGGGGAUCUCUUAUUCAUUCCACUUUCAGAGUGAUCUUCAAUAUUCUUUUCACCUCCUAACGGAGUCUAAUUAAGUGACUCAUGAUGGAAUAUGAACUUCUUGGUGGAUAGGCAAACCUUUUCUUCCUUGCCUACUAUCCUUAUAUUAUUCUUUCUUAGAGGGAAAAUACCAAAUUGAGUCAAAAAAAGACCUCUGGCAGCAACUUUGAAAGUCAAAUAGGUGGUUUUUGACUAGAUUUGCGUAUAAUAAGAAUAGGAUCAUAAAUCGCUAAAAUGGUCAAAAUGCAAUUAUAUGGAUAAAGGAGUCCUUCGUUUUUUAUGAUUUGCAUUACUAUCUCAAACCUGCGGCACAACCUACGGCAUUUUAGUGGACCUAAUCUCAAAUUUCAUUCAGCCUCCGGACCAGGUCCUAAAGUGGGGCGCAGUUGAGGAGGCUCCAUAAGAGAGGUCUAUUGUAAGAUCGUGGAUAAGUUCUUCCCGCGGAGGGGGCUGACGCCUUCUACGCUCCUUCGCAAAUUCUUUGCUCCUUCCUACGCCUUUUUUUUGGAAUCAGACUAGAGGCAAUAUGGAUAGUCAUCUGGUCCCUUUGAUUUUCUUCUUUGCUCCUACAACUUCGGAUAUUGAUGGUGACUAUUCGCUAUUCUAAAAGCUGAAUGAAUAUGAGAACCGACUUGCUAGACUACGGAGAGAAAGCAAAUACCAAAAAAGCCAACGGGUCUUUGAACCUUGCACUGUAAAUGACUGACCCACCCUGAUUAAGGGAAUAAGACCGACCCCUUCUCUCUCCCGCUCGGCGGUCGAUUCGAACCGCUCUUGAUAUUGAUAAGAAUUUCAGAAUCAGGCUAAAGAGCUGCUUCGCACCUUGCCCGGUCUUCCCCCACUCGACCGCGUAGUGGGGAUCAAGGCUUGAGAGAAGAAGUCAUUACUACUUAUUACUUCUAAAUAUCAAUUAAUUCAUUUUCCAAAAUAUUCCAAAAUUCUCCUUGGGCACCCAUGUAUGGAUUUGAUUGAUGCACAUCCUUUCGCUUUCCAGCGGAAUGAGCUUGCUGCAGCAGAAGUGGGAGCUGCCGUGGACGGCGGUCCUUCUUCAAAAGGAGGGAAGACAUGACCCCUUAAUUGAGUUCAAAGCCUUUUUACAAAGAUCUCAUGCUUAGUCAACGAGCCCAUCGACGGAUGGACUCCUUCCCCUGCUUAGAAUAGUUAUUCGAGGCCUCACUCCUUCCACUCAGGAAAGCCCUUGCACUUCAUCUCCUUCCUUAUUGACUUUCGGCAUUCAAAGAACCGGAAAAUCUUGCCUUUUUUUCUUGCUUAGAGGUUAGAACGAGCAGAGGAUAGAAGAAGACGUAGGAAGGAUCCCAAUACUGAAUCCGAGUUGGAAAAAAGCUCUUUCACUGACUGAAAUCGAAAGGCGCAAAGAAUAUUGCUCAGGUUCAAAUACACGGAUUUUCCCCUCAAGGAGGAUGAGAAAUGAAUAAGAGUUCCAGUACUCCGCAUGAGGAGGGAACCGGAUUUACCGAGUGGGAAGGGAGCCGGCCAGAGAGGGGAGUACCGCGGGUCAGGAGACCAGAUCGACUUACAAGGUAUGAAGGAGGGAGACCAGUAGCCUGGAAAUCUUUCAAGAUUUCGAGAAAAAUAGAUUAGAAAGAUCAAUGAAUGAGGCUGAUGAAAUAAAGGGAAGACUCAGCAUGCCAAACUAAUUCAAUCUCCAACUCGAGACCACCUCGCUCGAUCGACUAAAAGGAGAGGGACGAAUUGACCCACCGGUGUGAGAGGCUCGACCUUUCAUAUUCCGGGAUCCGACCAAGGCUGAUUUCAGAAAGAAGGAGUCCUCCUACGGAGCCAUCCCAAUCUCUCUAAUUUUGAGAUGAGACAGGGGCACAUUAUCAUGUGAAUGAAUGUGAUAAAUGGGUGAAUGAAAGCGGGAAUCCUAAAGAAAGGCCAAAAAUCUUUCAGGCUUGGCACCGCGGAGAUUUUGAUAUGGAUAAUACUCUUUUCAAGACCGAGCGGAUCCGCCAUUCGCAGAAUCCCCAUUUUAGUGAGUUUGAACCGCAUAUAAGUAGUAAUUCACAACCGCAUUUGAUAGAAAGACUAUGAAAAACUGUACCGCGGAGGUCCGGAGGACUAUGAAAUCUAUUACUUUGAAUAGGAGGACGCCUAUUUUUUGGAAAGAAGAAAGCAUACAAGAGACCGCGUAGUGGGCCAUAGAUCUUUGCACCUUCUGCUUCAUGAUUUUGGAUAGCUCUGACUUUGAAAAGAAAGAAGGACUCAAGUUCCAUAUAAUUGCGUUUUUAUGCCAAAAUAGCGAUUUCUCCCACUUUGCUUAUAUAACGAUAAUUGAGUGAAAAAGAAGGCAUUUGACUUUCAAAGUUGCGUCCCGUAUAGGCCCAUUUCUGACUCAAAGAGAGAUUUCCCUAGGAAAACAAUUUCUUUCAGAUGAUCGGAACAAAUACACAAAGGGCAGAACGGGUAGAAGAAGCAAGAAGAGAAAAGGUGAGAACCAAGAACACAUUCCACGAGAACCUCUUCUUUGUUGGGGAGUGAUAUUAUACGAUGAUGCCUCGCGCCUGGGGAGUUUCUUCUUUCAAAUAGUCCGACUGAUCGCCAUUCUCUUCUUUGUGCACGAUUUCUUCAAAAAUCCGUAUUUGAUCCUACUCGUUCUCAUUCAUUCUACAAUCUCAAUCUAAUUGCUUAUAAAGCAACUCCAAGACCAACCCCUCGAGAUCUCUUCGAGCAGAAAGAGAUGACUUCCAAAAACGAGUCUAAUAGAAGUAGGUUCUCAGGCUGAAAGGCUGUCUGUCUUUUUAGUCUAACUACUCCGCGGUACAGAAUUGCCCUUGUGUGUGAGAAAGGAGAAAUUCCGUCAUUUCUUUACAGCAUCGGAUCGGGAACGAUCGCCUAAAUCACGGGUCGUAUCUAGCCUCAAUCUUUUUCCAUUAGGGAAGGGGGCUCUCUUCUUUCACCUGCUCCAGGAAUGCUAAAUUAGUGGCUGAUUAGUUCUUCCCGAAGAGGCGGUUGCACUUGUUUAAGCUUUUCCCUUCUUUCAUCAAGUAAUUCAAGAAAGAGUCUCCCUUUCGCGGGCCAUAAGUGUCUCCCUUGCUUAUUUCUUUGUGUCUGAAUUCCCUUCCUUGCUUAGACCUUUCAUUCUCUACUUUAUAUAUAUAUUCUUUCUCUGGGUCCUCCGUUUUAGAGUCCUACGGAUACUCCGGACCUGUCUUAUGGCGCCUCCUCAAUUUCAGAUUCUCCCUAAGAAAGAAGGCAUUUUAGGUGCAUGGGUUUCAGAAGUUGAAGGUUGGGGUUGGACGCGCCCUAGCCUCAGUCAAUAGGACGCCCCGUCAGCUAAUAUGCUUUCUAGGUGAGAACGACUGUAAUUGCGCUCGAUCCCACUACUCUUCGUAUUUUCAAGCGCUCUUAGUUCAGUUCGGUAGAACGCGGGUCUCCAAAACCCGAUGUCGCAGGUUCAAAUCCUACAGAGCGUGGUUCUUGAAUUCAAUCGAUCGUAAAUGAGAUCUACAGGCCAAGGCAAAUCUCAAGCCUAAUCACCCCACAUUUCCGGGGAUAAAGAAGGGCGAGAUAUGUCAAUCCAAGUACCAAGAUCAAUAUGGCACGCGAGAGGGUCCUUACGAGAGAUAGGGGGGAUCCACGGGUUGAAAGGAGCGAAAAGCAGCUUGACCCUUGCUUCUAGUAGAGAUGAUAGGGUUUACUUGUACUUACCAGAUUAGCGAGAUUAGCUACACGCCACUUGGCCGACAAGCAUUUAGGAUUGAUAGCCUAUGAAAGGAGAUCAGAGGCUAGCCCCAUGGACGAGGUCAAGGCCGGUCAGAGAAAACUCAGACCCUUCUAGCCACUCUUUCAGUCUCCCUUUCUGCUGCAGGAAUUAGAGAGAGAGGGCAAGAGGAUGGACCAUAAGCCGGUGUUUACGCUGACUUAGGCGGUAGAAGUGAGUCUUCUUCGCUUUCAUCUUCGCACAAAUAGAGCCUGAUUUCUUCUUUUCAUUGUAAUCAAAAGCCUAGUUUAUCCCAGAAAAGCCACUUUUCAGAUAAUAGAUGAGAGUUCUCCACUGAACCUGAUUAUACGAGAAUGAAGGAAGGGUAGUUACGAAACAAACCCACGUAGCGGUAAAUCCAGAUCAGGUCACCAGUCGUUCUCCCCUCUUAAGUCGAGCCAAUCUACCUGGUCCUGGAAGUCUAGUUCUCGACUUUCUUCCUUUUAGUUUAGUGACUACGCUUUAUGAAGUUCACUCCCUCUCCUGAUUCGGUCUUACCUUCUUAAUACCGGUUCAAGGCCUCUUUGUUCUUGAAUUACCUUUCUCAAAGAAAUAGCUGCAACCUCACGACCAAACUGAGAAUGACUCUCAUUCCCAGGCUGCCGUUGCUGCAGAGUUGGGAGAGGAGUCAGGAGAGGAAUCAUAAGCUGCUGUUCUCAUUGUUCACAUUGCUGAAACCCUAUGAUAAAGGUCACACCCAGACGGAUCGGGGGGCGAAGAAGCUGUUCUGGAAAGGGCAGGGUCGAUGUAAUUGACCGAGACUGGUACUUGGCGGAAAAAGGAGUGGAUGGGAACUGCUUUACCGUCUUGACUUUCGGAGCCCACGGAGCGGAAGAUCAGAAGAAAGAGAUCUGAAGUAUAAAAUCAAAGAGAUCCUCAUUCUCCCCGGUACGACUUACUUAUGUUGUCAGCCUCAGGCCUUUUCUAAGGUAAGGGUCAGAUCGGGGAAGGUAUGAAUAUCUAUCCUUUUUCGGUGUGAAUAUCUGAAAUUAGGUCUCGGCUUCAAAGUUCAAAAUAAUGGAUUUCUAGGGGUCGAGUUCCAUGAGCAGCAGGAUCUUAUUCUCCGGAAUGAUCAGUUUAGGCAGUUGAAUCCGUACAAGAGGCAUCCCUUUCAGAAACAUCAGUACAAAAAUCAGAAGCUUGGGACCGCGUAGUGGGACAGGACACUGUUCUCGUCGGAUCGAGAAAGAGGGACGGACUGACUAGCCUAAAGAGCGAACUCAUCAUGAAUAAUAUUUGACCAAUAACCCGGAUAUUCAUCAUAUCAGAGACAGAUCAAGAGGGGCACCCGAGAUAGGGGAUGAAAUAUUAUAGACGAGAAGAUAAAGGUGAAAAGAAGAUUUCAGUCCUAAUUCCCUGUGUUAAGCAAAUGAGACAGGAUUCCGUAGGUCCAUGAAUGAAUUGCCUUUUCCCCUCUCAUUGAGGCGAAGGACUCUUGAUGGAAUAUGAACUUCUACUCUUUGAUAAUAUAUAUAUAUGGAAAGAUAUAGAAAAAUGAGAUUCAAAUGGAACUCUCAACAAAUAAAUAUCCCGCGGAGUGGGCCACGAUCUUUGCGCCUUCCCGCUAUUUAUGGAUGUUCAUUGAGCCUCACGCAAACCGCAAUAUUCCGCAUUGAGCCUUGGCACCUGGAAGUCUCGUCAACGCAUAUUUCAUUCCGCCUUCGCUUCGGACCUGUCAAAAUGCAAAUUAUGGAUAAAAGAGGUCCGACUAUCCACUAGCAUAUGGUGCGAUUCAAUUGACGGAAACGGAGUUCUAUCAGUUUCGAUCACAAAGAGAAAUUCUUUCAUGAAAAGGCUCAAAGAAUUUGAGGAGAAGACGAUUCAGAAAAAUAAGGAGGCCUACGAAGCGAAGCGACAACCUACUAAUCAGUUCCAUUAAUCAGUCAAAAGGUUUUUAGUUCCAACGCAAUAUAAUAUUCUUUGCCUGAAAUUUGAAGGAGUCUUAAGACCGAAGGACUAUCCAUCCAUAUUAACCAGCCUUCGGACCUGUCUGGCCUUCGUAGCUUAAUAAUGGGGAUCUGGGGACGGGUCCGACUAUCCACUAGGGAAUCAAAAAAAAGUUCAAGGAAGGUUCGCCUAUCCUACGGAGCCUCGUAGUAGUAGGAGUCUUAUUCCUUUAUUGAAAAGCAAAGAAGAAAGCACAAGGUUGGCGGGAGGGUGUACAAUAAGGAAGGCCUUUCCUUUCGAAAAAAGGGGUUGAAUUCAUCCACGUAAAUUGAGAUGGUGGCCUAUUUUUUGAUUUACAUAAAGAACCUUCUUUAUCCCAGCCAAGGCUCGAUGAAAUUGAGUUGCCGUAAGCUUUCUUUGCUUUGAGGCGUAGAAGGAUAGAAGGAGAAAGAAGAAGAAAGACCUGACUCAAGUCAAUAUUCUUUGACCCGAAAGGGCUCUUAUUUGCCUCUGAUUCAAGAUCGGAAACAGCAAUUCAAAGAAGUUGAUCUUGAAGUGACUCAUGAAAGAAGGGAUCUUGCUUCUUCAAGAGAAACUGAUCAUACUAAUUCAAAUAGUACUGAUUUUCUUAUUCUUUCUUCAUUGAUCGGGAAAGCAUAUGAGAACCUAUCUCGUCAACUCUGCUGCCUCAGCUCCUUCUAAUGGCACAGACUGACUCUCCCACGGGGCGGUACCUUUUUGGAGGGGAUUCACUUCUCCGCACCCUACUACUGAAGGUCGAGCCUAAUCUGCCUAAUCUCUUCUCAAAUUCUUUGAGCCUUGUGAAUUCAGGCUAGGCUUUCUCUUUCUUGAAAGGUGAGACUGAUUGAUAAGGAGAGGACCUUGCCUCACGUGCCGUAGUGAUCCGGUAGGUAGCAAGGGCUGGCACCCAUAGUGAAUGGGCCUUGAGCUCCCUUAAGCAAGCCUUUUUCAAUUACCACCUGAUUAAGCAAUUGCUUUUCCCGAUUGGGUAUGGAGCCGGUGGGUUACCUGUCCUCCGGACUUGUUUAAUGGAUAGGUCAACUCAUCUGGAGCUUGAUUUUAUUGGCAGUUCUGAGCCCUUCCCGCGAUUAGUCAAGGAUCAAAUAGUCCGAGCAAGAAAAAGAAAGCGGAAAUCUUCCAGUCCGGAGUGCCAAAGAAAGGUCCAGGGUCCGGAGUCCUACGUCCUACGUCCGCAGGGCCAAAGAAAGGUCCAGGGUCCGGAGUCCGCAGGAUUCUUAUCCGGAGUCCGGAGGAUUUAUCCGUAGGACCAUCCGUAAUUAACCGAAGUAGGACUAUCCAUAUGGAAGUAGGACCAUCCGUAAUUAACCGAAGUAGUCCGGAGUCCGUAAUUAACCGAAGGGGGGGACUAUCCAUAUUAACCAGCCUUCGAAAUGAGAAAAUAUGUACCAAAGACAAAGUACUAUUAUGGAGGAGCAAUAAGACAGGGAUAUUGAUUUCCAAAAACUACUAGUCCAGGUGACCGGUUUGAACCUCAAAACAAGGCUCGACUGAAAGGAGAGGCGAGACGGGGAAUUUAGUAAAUUGCUAGCUAAUACAACCUCUUUCGCAGCAACGGAGAUGGAUAAACUCAAGGUUUAGGGGAGGAAAGGGAAGGAAAGAAACCCGGAGCGAAGCGACCUAAUCAGCAGCUCAAUAUUCUUUGAACCUUGUUCCGGAGGGUGGAGGGGAGGAAGAGGUGACCAAAGGAGCCUGGACGGAGAUGGGCCACAAAGAAGAAGAAGUCAAUGAAAAGUUCAUAGAAUCUGGCGCAAGGAAGCGAGCGGACUCCAAAAAGGAAGCGAGCGGGUAGCAUACACAAAGCCUUAACAUGGCGCGCGCGACCCCCUCUUAUAUGAAAAUCAAGGGCGAAGCCACCAAAAAAAGAAGGCAGCCGGAUCGAUAUGAUAUCGCCGAAAAUGGAAAAGCCGGACCUUAGGCCGGACUCACAAGGAAGGGACUCAAGGCAAGGGCGACGUGUCUUUAUAUGUUGAGGCUCGUAAAAGUGCGAAAAACGUCAAAAAAAAGUACAUCUGAAAAGUCGUAAACCACUCCGUCUAGGGGCCAGGCUAGGUCCGAAAAAAUCAUAUAAAAGGCGCUCACGGGGCUCGGAUGCCAUAUACAAGUAAGAGCCUAGAGUCCUUCGGACGGAAGGGACUUUCAAAAGAAGGCUUUCCCCCGGCUUCCCUGCUCUGGUUCACCACCCCCGGAAAGUAUAAGAUAGCAGAAAAAGUCGAUGCAAGGUUCAGGCUGAAGAAGCCGGACCUUUUCUUUUCCUACCUUACUUGAAAGGGUAUGGAGCCACCGUCGCUUUCAUCAGCAUACCAAGAACCAGCGAUUCAAUCUCCAGUUAAUGGUCUAGGUCCGAACACCGUAUCUAGCGGCCACCCAGUCCGUGGAUCUGGGCUCCUGAAAGAGUCCUAGAAUUGAUGCCCUUUGUCCACCCCUAGUCGAUAUGGCAACACAAGUUGGAUUUACAACUGUUUCGGGCAAAGAUCGUUUGAAUCAAUCAUUUAACGAGAAUCUUUCGAAAUAGGAGAAGUUCAAAGUUGCCCGUCUAGGGCCUACCAUCCGAGCUGGCCAGAGCGUAGCGACCGCCUAAGGCCGUUAACAGUGGAGGAGAGAAAGAGGUGACCGGGGGGAGCCUCUUUCGGAGAUGGAUAACCUCAAGGUGGAGGGGAGGACAGGUGACCGGGGGGAGCCUGUCCGGAGAUAACUAAAUGAAUUUCUUUUCGAAUCUUAGAGGAAGAGAAUCUGGCGCUUAGUAGAAGCCCGCCCUCGCGUACUCCAAAAAGGAAGCGAGCGGGGGGCAUACACAAAGCCUUAAUAUGGCCCGGCUGGUCGACUUUCUGCCUCGCGCGAGGUUCUCGUUUAUAUGGAAAAAGGGCGAAGCCACCGCGUAGCUUCAAAUCUUCAGUCAAAAUAUGAAGGGCGAAGGCACCGAUCCAAAGAAGAAGGCAGCCGGAUCGAUAUCGCCGACAAAUAAAGGACGUAAGGCCCGACCUAUUAGCGAGGAAAACGACUCAAGGCAAUAGCGACGUGUCCUUGUUGAGGCGCAUCAAAAAAAAGGUUGAAGAUGAGCCUUUGUUUUGCAAAAUCAGAGCUAUUCAAAUCCCCCGUCCUCAGUCCUAUCCAUAUUAACCUGUGACGC
rnacentral:lncRNA from 1 species